CCAAUCAUACUUGAAUUUAAUAAGAAUCACUCUCAAUCUUUCUUCGGCCUUCAGUCCACUUUUAUAAAGUUUGGUUUUGCAAUCAGCAAGAGUUUGAUGUCUUCUAUCAUUAUUACUCGGUCUUUGGUUAUCAUUACAAUCUCUGCUUGUGCUUCUUAUUAGAAAAAGAAAGAAAAAAACCAUUUCUGACUGUUGAAUAUUCUAUGUUUUUUUGUAUAGUGUCGAAAAAGACGGUUAAAGGUGGCUGUGGUUGGUGUUCCAAAAACUAUAGACAAUGACAUCUUAUUGAUGGAUAAAACUUUUGGUUUUGAUACUGCUGUUGAAGAAGCACAAAGAGCAAUAAACUCUGCCUACAUUGAGGUAACGUUCAUUGAUUUCAGUUGUUGUAUCAUUACUGGUGAAUUCAUGUGCAUGUUGAUCUUCCUUGAAAUCUCUCUCCUUAGCAGUAUAGUGUUACUUUUCUUCCUCGUUCUGGAAGUUGUCAUAUGACGACCAAUUAUAUGAUGUUAAUAACUAAGUAAAUAAUUCGGUGUAGGCACAUAGUGCUUAUCAUGGAGUUGGCAUUGUAAAAUUGAUGGGUCGCAGCAGUGGAUUUAUAGCAAUGCAUGCAGCACUUGCUAGUGGGCAGAUUGAUGUGUGCUUGAUUCCCGAGGUAUUCAUCGAAAUAUAAAUUUGACAUCUAGUUUCUAUUUUCUUGAUGCCAUACUGAUAUCACCAUAUGGUUCUUAGGUGCCUUUCCAAUUACAUGGGCCCCAUGGUGUUCUACGCCAUAUAAAAUAUCUGAUAGAUACAAAGGGGUCUGCUGUGGUCUGUGUGGCUGAGGGAGGAGGACAGGUAAGUUGGUAUCCUUAUUUUUAUCUUUCAUAGAUCAAAACUUCAUGAUCUGCAUAAACGUAUAUGAAUUUUAUAAUUUUUUUUAUACUCUAAUUAGCAUAUAUGAUUGGGGUUAAAUACACAUGCUCUGCUUUGAUUGCAGAAUUUGCUGCAAAAGACAAAUGCUACCGAUGCAUCUGGGAACAUUGUACUGAGUGAUAUUGGCGUAUACAUUCAACAAGAGGUUUUUAAUUUACUUCCAUGUAGAUUAAUGAUCGUGCUAACUGAUAUUUGAGAGAAUUUUAGAUGCUCUUUUUACAUUCAUUGGAAUACUUGGAAGCAGUAUGUCGUUUUGUUUCUUUAAAUUUUAUGGUUUAAAGCUGAACUAUGUGGUUAUUCAAAAUGAUGAGGAAAGCCAGAACUUUGUUUUUGUUUGUUGUGCCUUGGAAUUGAUCUGGAUUAUUCUGCUGGUGUAUUAACAUAUUGUACCAUUUUCCCCGCUUCUUCUUGCAGAUGAAGAAAUACUUCAAGGAGCUUAGUGUUCCAGUUGAUGUGAAAUAUAUUGAUCCGACAUAUAUGAUACGUGCUUGUCGUGCAAAUGCAUCUGAUGGGAUUUUGUGUACUGUAUUGGGGCAGAAUGCAGUGAGUCCUUUUUCUCUCCCUGUGUAUGACUUUAAUAACUGCUAUGUUUUCGCAUAAAUUGUGGUUGCAGCAUUGAAAUUUCCCCUUUUCUGGAAACAGAUAGGAAAAAGCAAUGAAAAAAAGAGAUUUAUUCGGAAAGAACUUGAGAACGAAUCCAUGAAAGAUAAUGACAUGCAUUAUUCUGUGCUCUAGUAACUUUUUGUUAUACAUUAGUAGUUAUGGUAUAGUUUCUCAAGUCUUCCUAGUUUCAUGGCGGGCUGGUUUUUGCUCGUUUUCGUUUUUGGUUUAUUUGAUUAGAAAUGAGAAGAAACUUUCAAAUGAAUUUAGAAAGGUCGUGGAAGGUGUGGGCCAUCUUAAUGGCAGCCUUGUUCGCAUUUUGAAACCUCAAUUGUUAUUAGAUUACCACUUGUAAUUCUUUUUCUUGUGUUUACCAUUUUUGGUCCAUCUGACUGUCUGGUGGACUACUUUUGAACUUCCAUUUCCAUUUUUGUCUCUCCAUAUCAUCUAUAGUUUAUCUAUAUUCAGUUUCAGGAGUUUCUUCCACUAAUUCUUCCUUGGACAUUGAUUGCAGGUCCACGGCGCAUUUGCAGGAUACAGCGGUAUCACAGUAGGAAUCUGCAACACACAUUACGUAUAUCUUCCGAUUCCGGAAGUGAUUUCGUAUCCCAGAUUAUUGGACCCAAAUAGCCGAAUGUGGCACCGAUGUCUAACUUCAACAGGUCAACCUGAUUUUAUCUAAUCAUCUUCCUUUAAUUUAUGCAAGAGAAACGAGGGAGCAGGGAGGUAGCUUCAGUUUCUUUGUUUUUGUUAAGUUAGGGCAGCGGGUUUAGUAGAAUAAAUAAUGGCGAGAGGAAAAUGUUAAGUGUAUAGCAUUAGUACUUGAAAAGAUUCAUUUAUAAUAAAGAGAACAUGGAGGGUAAAGAAACCAAGUUCUUAGCCUUGUUGCAUAAUAUUUAUUCAUUGUAUCUCAUAAAGAGAAACAUUGGUUAUGUUUUUAUUCUUGCAGAAAUGCACAUUACAAAGAGGACUGAUUUGAUAUAUUUAUUUAAUACAAAAACAUUCUCUGGUCAACAAAAUCUUUAUCUUUUAUGUUCACACCACACAUUUUCUCGACUGACAAAGUUGUCGAAAAAUGUACUAAUCUGCAUUGGGAAAGACAUUUUCGACGAAUAUUGGAUCAUCGGGGAGAUGUGAUCAGAAAAACCACGUAGGGAGAGGAACUCUCGACGUCGUAUCUCGCGGUGUCGGGAAUGAAUCCCAUGCUUGAUGGGCAAUUUUCAUCGUCGGGUGAUAUCUUUCAACAUAGUAUAAAUUUGUCAAACCAAAUGAUAUAUAUUAAAGAACCAAAUUGGAAUUUAACACAUGAAAAAGACAUCAUCCCCAAAUUGGAAUUUAGCACGAAGUUCAUUCGAGGUUAUGUCAUGUAAGCUCUAAGUGAGUGACUUAGUAGGCGACUAGACUAGGAACAUGCAAUAAAAAAUGUUUUUCCCAUCUAUGUGUUGCUAACUUUCUACAAUUUGCAUGUAGUACGAGAUUUUCUUCUUGCUUGCCUAAGUGUAAGCGAAACAAGAGAUUUUUGGGGUAAGUUAGGGUCGAACACAUAAAAUUUCUAUCAAGCUUUAGUUAUAAAGUUUACUCUUCAUUCAGGCAGUAUGCAAUAUCUAUACAGUGCAAAGUAAAAGUAUGAUUGUGUAUCAAAUCUAUUAUUCACACUAGAGAUUCUAUAAAAGGUGACAUGGAAUGGUGGGAAUAUGGAGAGUGAACUAACUUGUAUUAUAGAAAUGUGAAGAAAGGUCUCCACGUUGUAGGCAAUUAAGCCAUGCGAUAGAUAUUACUUAACCACUUCCAAUUGAAACAUACAUUUUUCAAUGCCUAAACACCACAUUUGCUCGCCUCUCGGGAUACAAAUAAUAAAGAUAAAUUAAGCGAUAGCUAUCUAGAUUUCAUUACUUGUAAGAGUCACAUUAGCUCUCUUUUAAGGGUGACGACCUCCUUGCGCCAAGUUACUACUUGUUCUCCCUUUGGGAAACAAAUGAUGGAGGUUUAAUUACUAGGAUGAAGUUCGUUUCCAAUUCUCCUUGUGCGCGUUUAGUCAUGUUGCUACUUACCAAUUCGAGCAGCUGGCUACAAAUGUUGGCCACACGACGAAGUAAAGCUCAACUAAACACAAUGAGAAGCAUAAGUAAAUAUCUCUUAUCAAGAGCUUAUCACAAACGUAACAACUUAUAACACUUCAAUGAUAAACAAUAAAUAACGAUAGAUUGACUAGGAAUAAAAAUGCAAUGAUGAAUAGUGAGCACUAAUUUUCAUUUAACAUUUCAAUGAUUUUUUUUACCACAAGAGUAGCUUCAAAACACUUAAAGUCAAAGGUAUGCAAGUAUUGUGUAAACAAAGAGCAAUGUACAAAGUGUUUUAUUUUUCUUUUUAAAUUUAACUUCAUAUCUAUUAACAAAAAAUAGUAUAUAAAUUGGUAUCAAAAUAAGUGAUUUUGAUGUACUAUAGUUCACAUUUUUUGUUUACAUUACAUUACACAAAAAAAUUGUGUUAGCUUAUGUGAACAAAUCUAAAUACAGAAAUAGAAAAAAACACAAAAUAUAUGUAAAUGUGGUCGAUUCUUUAUUUCAAGCUCCCUCCCUUUUCCUGUCCUUCCAUAUAUGAAUUUUUUUUUGCUAAUUCUAACUCCCAAAAUUCACUUAUUGUAUUUGUUUUAACUUUUUCAUGGUUUUUUUUUCAAUAAUUUAGGGUGGAGAUUUAAAUUCGAAACUCUUAUCAAAAUAUCCCAUUUUCUUAUUGGUUAUGGUCAAGUUGAUUUCCAAAAACCUUAUAAAUUAAAUAAAGAAAACUUAGGAUAUAUUUGAAAAACAUUAAUUUGCCAAAGUCCAAAAUAAUCGUAUCAAGCUUUAAAUCAAAACACUAACCAAGUAAUAGGGGAAGCCUACGAGAGCAAUCUAGAAUGAGACGACGCUAUAUAUAUGGUUAUCGUCGUUUCCUCAACCCUCAACCCUCAACCCUCAACCCUACCCUCCAAUGUUAUAAGAAACACUCAUUUCACCCUCAUCGCCUUCGCCCAUUUCAUUUUUAAUUUCAACCACUGUUUCGCCCAUUCCCCUCUCCCGCCAUGGCCAUCGACCUCUCUGCUUCCCCACCCCUUUUCUCUACUCUUCUCACCGGAAACCCCUACCUUCGCCCCAGGCCCGCUCUUCCUCUCAGAAUUGCCAUAUCCUCCGCCUUUACCACCUCCCUCCACUCUCGUAUGUUCUCCAUUCAUUACGUAUGAUUCUCUGUGUUUCUUAUGUUCUUGAUCACUUUAUGGGUUUUUUUUGUUUUUUUUUGUUUUUUCAUUCUUCUUUACUUCUUAUAUGACGAUGAAUUCAUUAGCGAUUUCCUUUCUUCUUAAUUAUUAUUUCCUAGGACAUCGUCAUUUUGCUGUUUCAUUGCCUAGAGCUGCAGCCUCUGAUGAAUCUAAUGGAUCUAGUUCAUUCUUUACUGAACAACGCGAUAGUGUGACAGUCUUGGAAGAUUCUCCUUCUGCUUCUUCACUCACUCUGGAAGAUUCUCCUCCUGAGGAGAUCCCUUCCGACGUACUUGCGGCAACGGAAGUACCUAAACAAGAACCGGUUGAAGAUGUGCCUGUGAUAACUCUGGACGAUUCUUCUUCUGCUGGGAAGGUUGAAAUGGUGACGUCUGAAGAACCUAAAGAACAACCACUUGAGGGUGCGCAAGAACAGGCAUUUGAAUUUUUGAAUGAUCUUAAAGUAAGAACCUUCAUUGAAUCUGAUUUGCGAUUUUUUGCAAGUUAAGUUUGUUAAAUCCGAAAGUAUGACAUAAUAUUUUUUUCAAGAAAAGACUGAUUUACAUCAAAGUAACUUGAUUUUUGCUUCUGUUGGUUAUUUGUUUAUUCAUUUAGCCAGAUUGUGCAGUGUUCAAUGCCAUCCUUGGUGUCUUUGACAAUUUUUUUAAUCAUAAUUGUUGAGUAAUUGGAAAUAUCUUCUAUUUAAACUUUUUCUGGGGCAUUUCCCUCUUUUUUUAAUAAAUAAAAAUAUUUGGGUUUUGUUUUUUUCUUCCCAUUUGUUUUCCUCAUUUUUUCUUCCUUGGAUCACAUUUUUAAAGUUAGUUGCAGUGAUGAUAUCAUGAAACUUGAUAGUAUAUACCAAUGCUACAUGAAACGUCGACAACUAUGUCGGCCUGAGCGGUUAAUCGAGCAACCUAACUCCUCUAUUUGAUUUUUAAUUGUUGUAUUUUUGUUCUAUUUAAAAAAAAUGUUUUUUUGUUUCUUUCUGCUUUGCAUCCAUUGUGUGUUAAACGUGCUGAUGUUUUCUGAUCGAUUUAAGCGGCACCUACCUCUAAGGAACAAGUUUUUCACAAAAUAUAUUGUUGUCCAUUCUGUCUUUGUUCAUAGGAAACUUUUUCAGCUUGGUUUUGGGAUUUAAAACUGGGAAUUUUGGUGUUGUCAACCCCCUUUCAAGUGUGGCGUUGAAUGUGAAAGAUAAUUUCGAAAGGGAUAUCACAUCCCCUUACAUAGCUUUGUCAACUUGGAAAAACCCCAUUUUCAUAUAACUGAAGUUGUAAUUGUACAUUUUUCAUUUUGGGAUUGCAAUAGCUUCACCCUGUGAAUGCUUUGAUGAUUACUUGUGCUUGCAGCUUGAGUCUGUUGAUACAUACAGUCUUGCCUUGUAUGGUGCUGGUGCUUUCUUUGGAAUUUGGUUGGUUUCCGCCAUUGUUGGUGCUGUUGAUUCCAUCCCAUUGGUAAAGUUUGCAUAGAAUUGCAUAAAUAAGUUUUAGUUUUUUGAGAUGUGAAUUUAUAACCAUGGAUUCUUGUAAAUAUAGGUACCAAAGUUAUUGGAAGUUGUGGGGCUUGGUUACAGUGUGUGGUUCACUGCUCGCUACUUGUUAUUCAAGGUAAUUGCUUGAAGUGGCUUGGUUUGAUGAAAACCUACCCUUUUCUGAUUUUCUCCAAAUAUGUGAUAAUUGAGAGAAUUCCUUUUGUGGGACGUUACAGGAAAGUAGAGAUGAAUUGGCUGCCAGGAUUGACGAGUUAAAGGAGCAGGUUCUUGGUUCAGAUUGACAACGGUUCGGUUGGAUAUAUUUUUCUGUCAUACCUAGGUAGUUAGUUAUGUUUGGGUAGAUAAAAGAUAGCUGGAUGUGCUGAUAAACAAUAUAUAUGAUAUAGAUGAUGAUUACAUUGUCUCUGAUGCAAAUAAGCAAAUACUUGAUUCGCUUAUAGAGAAAUGUUUUUCUAAUAUUGAGUUUGGGUGAAUUAAGGCCCAUUUUUCAGGAAGAGUUUGGUAAGAUGGUCGAUAGCUAUGAGAGAAAUGCAUCCAUUCCACUCUUCUAAAAACAGAGUCAAGUAUGAAACCCUUUGGAUUUUGGAAGGUAGGUUUUUAGGUUAGUUUAAUAAUAUAUUUUGUUCUUUAUAUACAUACACGUUUUGAGCUUAUAUUUUGAGUAAGGGUGUAUUCAAAAUUAAUGCCAAAUUUUGAUAGUUAAUUUGGGCUCGUUGAAUUAGAAACGCAGUUUAUUGAGCAAAAUUGCUUCAAAAUGAUGAAAACUAUCCCAUUUUAAGCUCUUGUUUAAAUGAUGUAUUAGGAUAUAUUUGUUCCUGGGUAGGGUUAAGGUUCUACCAACCACUCACCUCCCAUCCAACUCCUCCACUCUCACCUAAAAUCGCCUUAGACAUGGAAUCAUACAGCUUCUCUCAGCUACCUUCCUUCACUCUCUUUUGUCUCUCUUUUCCAUAUAACUUAGAAUCUACUCUUUUUCAUUUCUUUCAAAUCUAUCAUACCAUUAUGAUCAGUUUUUUUAAAAUAUAUUAUUAACAAACUAAAUUCUUUUUAACUUAUUUGUUUUCAGAAUUUGACCUCAAAAAUUUGGGAGAAAACAAACAUUAAUUUUAAUAUCUAAUAACAAUAUAUUAUUAAAAAUGAAACCAUUACCAAUUCAAGCCUUAGUUUCAAUUCAAAAGGAGGUCAUGCAUUUCAAUUACCACACUUUGCCAUCACAAAUAAAUAAUAGCAUCGAUUAAAAAUUGACCAGUAAUUAAUAUUUCUUUUCUUGAUGCAAUGGUGUUUCUUCCUCUUUUUCCUUUUUUUCUUUUCUUGAUGCCAAACGUCCAGAUGGUCCAGAUAUUUUUUGAACAUUAUGUAUAUUUUCUAUCAACUUUUUUUUUUUUAAUUCAUAUAUUUUAUUUAUUUAUACAAACAUGGAUUUUUGAAUGAAAUAAUCUCAAGCAAAUACUCAAUUCCUUUGAUCGCAUGGUCCUAUUUUGUCGCCCUGUAGUCUGUAAUGUAGAACCACUCGUGUUAAAUCUAAGAGCAUAACACUUGAGGAAUUGUACACUUGAGGAAUUGUAGCACACAAAUGGAAACAAAAAACAACCUUAGGCUAGAUCGUUGGUGUGUACACUCGGCCUAUUUCCUCUUGAUCUAUCAAACAAACCAAAGCCUCGUACUAAACAUAAGAUAAUACGGAAAAGAUAAUACUAAAAGAAUAUUUCACAGUUUUUCCAAAAAUUUUCAGAUUCAACAACCUAUGUUCAAGCACUCGUAGCAUCCUUAAUACUUGACCUAAAUUAAUGUACUUUAUAUCAAAAUCUAUAUUUUGAAACCCUCUACGAUUUACUAUUUGAACGAAUGAAAAAUAGAUUUCCAGAAAUUGAUCCAAACACCUACUUUCAGUCAUUUUUGGCUCAUGAUAUCAAAUAUCACUUUUAUUAAAUCACCAAUUCACCCAAAACCUGACAUUCCUAGACCAUCUGCUCUUAUACUAUGUUUGAUAGUAUGAAGUUCAAUCUCAAAACCAACUGGCAGUGAGAGGAGUAGCUCAUCUAUCUAAUAUGAAGUGUGAGUCUUCUUAGUUUUUUUUCAAUGUGGAACUCUCAACAUUUCCAGCAUGCCUCCUUAAGAUGAUGCCUCUUUGGGUUCACCUAUCUUGGACCGAAUACCCUUUGAGUUUAAUGGGCCUGGAUACCAUAUUAAAUCGUCAAUUCACCCAAAACUUUAAGCUGGUGUUUGAAGGAAAAUUUAAUUAUAUAUCAUUAACACUUCUAAAUCAAUUUGUACAAUACGAAAUACUAAAAAAAAAAAAAGAGACUUCAUGAAUUAGCACACAAAUAUGUGAUCUGAUUUCCUUUUCGAAAAUCAUAAAUUUAAAAUCAGAAAUUUGCUCAAGAUUCCUUCACAAAACUUGUUAUAAAUUAAAUAAAAUUUCAAAUAAAAUAAACCUCAUCUUUUAUAAUUUCUUCCAAGUUGUUCAAGCCGACUAAGAAGCCGGAGAUUAUCUGUGAACACUAACUUCUGCCAUGGCUGUCUCUUCCUUCAAGUUUUUCUUCAUCUCUUUCACCUUAAUUCACAGCCAUUUCCCUUCUUCUUCCUCAUGUUAUAACUCAGCUCCCUCUAAAUUUUUGGUAAAAAUGGAUAAAAAAGGGCUUAAGCAAUGGAAAAGUAUUUUAGAGAAAACAAAUUGCACCAAAAGCUUUUAUUCUCUCUUAUCUCUCUCUUCCUCUUUCUUACUUCUCUUUUAACAAAAUUUUUCCUUUUUUUUUUCUUUUUUAUUCCUAUACAUACAUACAUACGUACACAGACAUAUAUAUAAUUCCACUUUCUUUUUCUUUUUCUUUUUCUUAUAUCUUUUUAAAAGAACUUGAACCAAAAGGGUUGUCAAUUUUCUUCAAUAACUUAAAUUCAACUUUCUAUAACAAUGACAACAAAUAAUCCAAGAAAAUUAUGGAGUUUACAACAUAAGAGCUCUCGAACAACUUGAGCCAACUGGAAAAACACCAAAAACAAGUUGAACUGACCCAUAACAAGUUGAGUUGGCCUAGGAGCCAACCAUUGGGAUUGAACCAGCCCAAAAGCCAACUAUUCAACCAUCAGGUACAGGUCAACCGAGCAGAUGGGUCGGAUUGCAGAGUGGACGGGUGCACAAAUUAGGCUUCACACACAGAACGGUGUCAAACAUGAAACGUGAAGCGGGUCGAACACAAACGAAUCGAGCGUUCUGGUUUGGAAGGACGUGUCGUGCAUUACGAAAGAGCCACAUGGCGGAGUGCUGGGGCGAGAGACAAUAGGGGCACGAUCAUGUUCCAGAUCGAGUGAGGAACGAGUUUUCAGGCCUGAGAGCCAAAAACAGGUCUGUCUUGUAAUUUUCCUUAAAAUUUCAGCUUUUCUCUCUCCCGAUUGAUGCAAUUUCAGCAUAAUUUGGACUCUAAUAACUCAAAAAUUACAGACCCUAAGAAAAUCAUUAUAACCACAAAACCCGAGCCAAUUACAAUAAUUACGAACCAUAAGCUUAAUUUAGUUUCCCAAGACCAUAAUUUAUCCAUUUAAUUCAACCAUAAUUUAUCAAAUAAAUUGAAAGACCCACCAUAUAAAAUUGUGUAAACUUAGCAUGAUGGAACACAAGACAUGCACAAUGGACAAACAAGAUCAAUUUUACUCCAACUGCAACUAAACAAUUUAGUAAUUAACAUGCAUAAAUUACCCUAAUUAAAGAAAAUUAAGGUUAAUAGAGAACAUACCUUCGUACCUUCCCAUUCCUCGUAAUCUUCUCAUGAACUCGAAUCGAGGACCAAUGCUAGUGUUGAUUCGCUAUUCUUUGGACUUAAAACCGAGUUGUGGGACACGACAAGUGAAUGAAUGAAAGAGAGAAAAAUGGAAAAUGGACUAGGGUUGGAAGAUCUUAGGUAAGAUUUUUUUUCACUCUUUGUUCUAACUUCAAAAAUUAAAAUUUGGUAAAAGUUUCUUACAAUUUUGAAAACAAGCCUUUAAACAUGCGAAAGACAUGCAACUAUUGCUUGUAAAGAUUAAGCUAUGUUAAACACCUUAUUUUUCAUUAACAAUCAAUGGAAUUCAGUAGGCUCGUAUUUACAUCUCAUGUAGCUACUUAUCCCACUAAAUGUUAGUGGGGUUACCCAACAAAAUGUUUGAUAUUCUCACUAAGUUUAAUCAAAGAGCAAUAAUGAUCAUUUAACCAUUCAAGUCAAAGUCAAAACUCAACAUUUUAACUGUCUACCAUUUUUUUGUAUUAACUAAUUCCGACCUCCCAAGCAUGAAUCCACAUUCACUUUUUAGAAAUUCAAAUCACAUUUGAAUUUAAACUCUGUCAAAGUUUGACUUUUCAAAGUCAAAAGUCAACAAUUUGACUUUUUACAACUUUGACAAUUUUCAUCGCUAUUGAGCUUUCGAAUAUGAAUCAAUUUUCAUAUUUUUAGUAUUUAAAUUACAUUUAAACAUAAAACUCUAUCCAAACUGAUAACUGACGACUACAUCACAUAUAUUGAUCGAUUUCUCUCUUUUUACCUAAUUCAAACAAUUCAAAUUAUUUCAAAAUAUUGUUCUAAGUUAAUUCCAUAUGAGUUAAGAGGGGAACCUAAUGAACCUAUAGAUCAAGGGUUCCGACAAUCAAAGAUUAACUAGCUAAACUCUUUUAGACCAAACUAAUCAAACAUUUGUUAAAGUCUCGUAGUUGCACUCCUCUCACUAUAGAUAUAUUUGUGUUCAUUUAAUAUAAUCAUGAUCAAUAAGUUAUUCCUUUACAAAUAAUUCAUAACCUUGACUGUGUCAAAAUAUCGUUCAACUCCCGAGACUAUAUAUUGCUCCUAUAGUCUCAUUGAUCCAUUAUUGAAUAAUUAGUUUAAGGUCCAAUCUAUAAACCAAAUUAUCCAUCUCGCGCCAAUGAGAAAGUGAGGUCCCUUGUUCAAGACCUGGAUUCAAUUCUUAAGUGAACAACCUAUCUACCAACUCUAAAGCGGAUGGGAGUGAAUUUUGUCUUGCAUCCUAUGCCCAUAGCCAUUCACCCAUUCUUACCCCUAAAAUUAGAGGCUUAUUGAUAACUUGUAGAAAUAGAAGUUAUUGUUACCUUUUAUAUAAAGUAAUGAAGCCUUAUCGCAUAAGAACAAAAUAAAACAUAGAAAAAAAGUUGAGAAUUUGAUUAACUUGUAUACCACAUAUUACAAAAGAACUUUAUCAUUUUCUUUUUAUUACAGGAUAUUAAGUAAAAUAUAGAGCUUAGUGAUAAAACAUCACGUAGGGAGACACAUUUAACCAACAAGAAGACAAGGAAACAAGCUAGGCAAUACGAUGUACUAGCAGACAAAUUUUGUUGGCACGAAUGUCAAAAAAAUGACAAAAGAACAUCUGCACAACAAUGAUACAACUUUAAUCAAAAGCAUUAAUUAAGCAUGGAAUGUCCUAUCAUCAUCACUCUCCACCUUUAAGUAGAAGACUACUUCAAAACAAAGUAUGCAAAUUUUGGAUCGUAAGGCAAGCUUACUAUAUUUCAUUCUUUCUAUCUUGAGUUUUAGGUAAGAGCUUAGAACAAAAAGAGAAAGUUUUUCCCAUAAAAGCUUAGAACAAAAAGAGAAAGUUUUUCCCAUAAAAGCUUAGAACAAAAAAGAGAGUUUUUCCCACAACAAACACGCACAAAUCAAAAUAAAUGAGUAUGAAAAAUCAUACUAUAAUGCUCGACACAUUUCUCUAUAUAUCAUUUUAUAAUUAUGUUGUAUUAAUUUAUAAAAUAUACCCCAUGAUCAAAAGGCUUAAAGUUAUAUUUAUGAUAUUAGUACAUUUCUUCUACUUCUACCUCUCCCAUCUCUCUUCCAAAAUUCUUUCAAUAUUCAUUUUCAAUCCAUUUAAUUAGUUUAUGAGCAAUGCAAUGUGUUAUUAAUAUUAGAGAAUCUAAAUGUAUUUCUCGUAAGUUUUGUUUAGCUAAAUACAAAUGUAAAAAAAAUUGUUUAUUUGAGAGAAGGACAAUCGCCUAACAAGUGAAAGCACGUAUUUAACUAAACAAACGACGAAGAAAUUGUAGCCUAUAUAUAUUUCUCCCUUUUGUACUUUUUGAAUCACUAGAAUAUAAUAAGAGAAAUUUCUACUCUGUGGUUUAUUCUCACUGUACUUGAGUUUUGCACGUAUACCUUCUCUUACCUUUGUUUGGAUAACUUUCACAAAGUUGAACAAAUCACUAGCCAAUUAUAAAACUAACGUUGAACAACAAGAUUAAUUUUGAACUUUUUUUUAAAGUUAUUAUGAACUUUUUUUUUUAUGUAAUCAUUUCCAUGUCACACUAUAUCUAGUCAGGGAAUUUAUUCUCAACUCCAAAUUUAAUGUUCCAACUUAACUAAAUUCAAACUAAAAGAUAAAUAAUUAAUUUAUGAUCAAAAGAUUAUAAGCAUUACGCAAGUUAAAACAUGCACCAAUCAGGCAACGAAACCCAAAUCCCAUCAUUUUUUUUUCUCCAACGGGAUGUCCCACUGCUUCAAAGAAAAAUCAGAAAGAUGGAAUUUCAUUGGCAGAGUUACCUUUUUCUUCUCUUUUUUGUUUUAAAGAGAAGAAUGAUUCUUACUUGGUAAAUCAACUAAUCUUCCAGAAUACACCAUGAGGCCACUGAUUCAAUCGUCAGUAUGAUGCAUACUAACUUUAAUACUGAAAAUAGAGAGUCAACUAGAUAAGAAAGUAAAAAAGAGCAAGUUAAGAAAAUGGUUUUAAUAAACUACUCAUUGUUAAAUUUGAUUUAUCCCAUCGUGACUUUUGCCCGUAGUAAAAAGUUCUGCAAGCCUUCUUUUGUUUAGUCAUAAUUCCAUAGAUAUUCUUUUCAAUCUCCUAAUUUGUAUUUCUUUUGGAGGUUGAUUUCAACCUUUUGAUAGAAAUCUAUUAAACAAAAACAUAAACACCUGUAAAACAAACAAACAUAACAAAAACAAAUAAAUAAAUAAAAUAAAACCUCGAUUCAAUAAAUACCACAAGUCAUUCUCUUUUUUAUAUCCGUGUGUUUGGACCAGCUUGCAGGUCCUGAACCAAUCUCAUAAUUUAGGUGUCAAGGAAACUCACAGGAAAUCAAUUUAUAGGUUGAUGACCCCAUGGAUUAAACUUGUGACCUCCUGGUCAUUUAUUGAGACUAUGUCUCUUUUUUAUCACUAAACGACGGUUAUAAUACACAAUUCACUCUCGCGCAAGAAGCAAAAGCUUCAGAAGAAGAAUUUUGAACUUAAUACAAAAAGAAAACAAGAAAACCUGCAAAUGGAGAUAUUAAUGAUUGCUUGAACCAGUAACUCUCGUCCACUCCAAGCAUUAAUAAUCACAGAUUUCCUCCUCUAUUUGCCAUAGAUUUGAGCACAAUCAGUAUAGCGAAAAAAUGCGGCAAUAAUAAACACUGAAUUUAAAUAGGCUAACCAAAAACAUCAUUUUUCAAAGAAAAAAAAACAUAAUCAAGAUGGCAACAAUUACUGCAAAAAUUAGAGAGCAACAAAAAGAAUCAGAAAUCUAAAACAAAAAUCUACAUUACCUGUCUUGUUUAGUCAAACUGAGAUUUUUGCUGAAAGUAGUUGGAAGUGUUGAGCUUGAAUGAUAUCAAGUUGUGCAUCCGUGGAAAUUCUGUUUUUAUUUGGCAAUGAGACUUCCUGUGAAGCAGUGAUUGAGAUGCUAGCAGAACCAAGUUUCAAUUUCUUAAACUUUUGUCCAAAUUGUGCUAUAAUACCAUAAACAACGUUGUAAGAAUAAGAAAUAUAUCUAUAGUAAUGACUUUUAUUCAAAUAUCCCAAAAUAUCCCAAAAUAAUAGUGUCUAUGUGUAUACACUGUAUACAUGCACUACAUACUUAAAAAGCAUAAACAUAACCCUUGAAUAAAUGCACCUUGGCAUUAAUACUUAAUCAUCUGAUGAUUGCUCCCAGUAAAUUUGACCCAUCAACCAUUGCACCUUCCACUGCUACAAAAUUAAUUAGAUAUCCUACCAAAUUUUUAGAUACUGAGUGGGUUUUAUUUUUUUAUUCAGGUAUUAAUAGAAGAAGUUAUAGAAUAGAUUUAGUUUCAGAUAAAAGUAAAAAAAGAUGAGUAAGAACAAAGUAUACCAUAUUACAAUUCAACCUGUUUUACAUACCGUCUCUAAGAUUCAUACAUUUUUUUGUCAUGAAUUUUAGCUCCACAUCGUAAAGGAAUUUUUACAUUACUGUCACCAAAAAAACAUGCCAAUGAACUUAUUUGUUGUAAUUGAUUCUUCAGAAUCUGAAUGGCCUCGUUAGUAUUGCAUCUCGGGUUUUCUAUCAACUCUACCCAAUCAAAUCAUACGGGAUGGAUCCGAUUUCAGCUCCAGCUCGUAAGAUGAGAUUAUAAACUAGAAUUAAAAUAUCAUCUGUAGCAACUUAUAGUAGAAAGUUCUUGAACAAAUUCAAAUCACCAAUCUAAUACUAUAUUGCAUCUAACUUGAAAUAGAAGAUAUAGAUUCUCUCCCAGUGAAAGAAUCAUUGGGGCAAAAUGGUGUCUUCUGUGAAGGUAUGUGCUAGGCCCCCGAUAUCCAUCACGUAUAGUAGGAAAAAGAAAGGGAAGGACAGAAUUACACGUGGAGCUGGGGGAGAAGGCAAAGGGCACAACCAUCCAUCUGUGGGGUCCACUAGUUAGUUAGAAUAAAUAGAAGAAGGAGAGAGAAAGAGCAUCGAAGAUCAUUUCUGAAAGGGUGGAGGCUGUUCUUCCUUGAGUAGGAAGAAAGCAAGGAGUCCAGGUUCUAUUGUUCUUGGUCUUCAUUGUUCAUUGUUGAUUGUUGCUUUAGUGUUAUUAGAAUUUCCUGUUCUUAGUUUUAUUUCACGCCAAUUGUUAAACAUUGUGUUCUGGAGCUUUCUGUUGUAUUUUGAACUCUAUAUUGUGACUGUUGGAAGUUUUAUUGAUUACUGUUGAAGAAAGUGAACAUAUAUAUAUAAAGGUACAGCUGAAGUAUCUUUACAAAUUGGUAUCAGAGCCAUUACCUGGGUACCUGGGCUACCUUGAAAUCGACCAAGCAUGGCCAGGAAAGUGGAGGAGAGGAUCGACGCUGUGGAACAAGAACUUCAACAACUGCCAAUCAUGGAAGAAAACCUAUCAUUGAUAUCCAACAGUAUUCAAGAGAUCUCAGAUCGACAAACAACAGCAGCAGCAACAAUUGUUUAUGAAAUAUAUUGAGGGUAUUGUACGGGAAGAUAUCUCCGCAAGGAAGAAAACAGAAAGCGCGGUAAGCCAAGCCAAGGGUGAGGAAUCGACCAUCUCGGGAACGUCCAAUGGAUAAAAAAAACUCAGGGACAGAAGAGGAAAAAUCGACUGAUUGAGUAAAUUUAAGUUGAGAUGCCGGUAUUCAAUGGGACUGAUCCUGAUUCUUGGCUAUUCCGAGCAGAUCGGUACUUUAAGAUUCAUGAGUUAACCUAUACAGGGAAGAUGACAGUGGCAGUGAUAAGUUUCAAUAGACCUGCGUUGGAUUGGUAUUGGUUGAAUGAUAAGUUGGAAUGAUUCAAAAGUUGGGAAGAUCUGAAACAAAGAUUAUUGAUCCAAUUUUGAAAAAUUAGCGAUGGGUCAUUGGUAGGAAGGUUUCUAGCGAUCAAACAGGAGACAACCGUGGAAGAAUAUUGGAACCGGUUUGAUAAGUAUUUAGCACCGGUGACUUUCUUCAGACUAUAGUCCUUGAAGAAACUUUCAUGAAUGGGUUGAGCCCAUGGUUAAAAUCAGAAGUGGAUGCGUUAGAGCCUAAAGGUCUAGCCCAAAUGAUGAAGUUGGCCGAAAAAAUUGAAAACAGAGAGAUGGUGAAGAGAAUGCGGAAUGAGUAGCGCAUGGCGGGAAUUCUCAGUUCAAAGGGAAUUAUGAAAAAGCCUCCACCCAUAUCCCUAUACCUCCAAAACCGAAUGACGACAGUUGGCCCAUGAGAGCGAUCAUCCUAAAGGGAAUCACACCGGAGGAAAAAAAGAAAGACGACCCUACCAAGAGACUAUCCGACGCAUAAUUCCAGUCACGACGAGAGAAGGGAUUGUGUUUCAAAUGCAACGAGAAGUAUUAUGUCGGUCAUCGGUGCAAGGUUAAAGAACAAAAGGAAUUACGAAUGCUGGAGGUAAGAGAAAAUGGUGAAGAGUUAGAAAUUAUUGAAGAAGAGUUCUUGGAUACUGAAACAGAGGAGAAGGCAGUCGAAAUAGAAAAAGUGGAGAGCCUAAAUAUUGAAUUGUGCAUCAACUCUGUGGUGGGAUUAACAAACCCGGGAACAAUGACAGUAAAAGGGAAGAUCAAAGGAACUGAAGUGAUAGUGCUCAUAGAUUGUGGGACAACCCACAACUUCAUCGCAAAGAACUUAGUAACAUCCCUCAAGUUAUCAUUGAAAGAAAUGUCUAAUUAUGGGGUGAUCUUAAGGUCAGGAGUGGCUGUGAAGGGAAAGGGGAUUUGUGGUCAAGUCAAUGUAUCGGUAGGAGAAUGGACCACUGAAGACAGUUUUUUUACCCUUGGAGUUGGGAGGGGUGGAUGUGAUAUUGGAUAUGCAAUGGCUGCACACUUUAAGCGUGGACUGAAUUCGACUUGAAGAAGCUGUUGAUGUCAUUUCAUCACGAAGGGAAGAGGGUAGUAAUAAGAGGGGAUCCUAGCCUUACCAAAACAAGUGUAAGUUCGAAAUCUAUGAUGAAGACAUGGAAUACCGAGGAUCAAGGAUACUUAGUGGAAUGUCGGGCUAUGGAAGGGAAGUUGACUGCGGAAGAGUUGAAUACAGCAGACGAUAUGAUAAUUGUUGACACCAUAAUUCCACCUUUGUUGAAUAAGUUUCAUGAUGUUUCUGAGUGGCCCAAAACACUACCUUCGAAGAGAGACAUAGAGCACCACAUCUACCUUAAAUAAGGAGUAAACCCAGUGAAUGUCAAGCCCUACUGCUACGCUCAUCACCAAAAGGAAGAGAUGGAAAAGCUGGUUGAUGAGAUGUUAAGGACUGGAAUUAUAAGGCCAAGUACUAGCCCUUACUCCAGCCCAAUUCUGUUAGUGAAAAAGAAGGAUUGCAGCUGGAGGUUCUGCGUGGAUUAUUGUGCCUUAAACAAUGUGACAGUCCCUGAUAAAUUUCCAAUUCUAGUGGUGGAUGAAUUAUUGGAUGAGCUGAACGAGACCAAUAUGUUUUCAAAGAUAGAUCUCAAAGCUGGGUAUCACUAGAUUCAAAUGUAUCAAGGAGAUGUGGAGAAGACGGCCUUUCGCACUCAUGAGGGACACUAUGAGUUCCUAGGCAUGCCGUUUGGGCUCACUAACGCCCCAUCCACCUUUCAAGCUCUAAUGAACCACGUUUUUAAACCUUACAUGAGACAUUUUGUGCUGGUAUUUUUUAAUGACAUUUUGGUGUAUAGUAGGGGAAUAGUAGAACACGCGCAACACUUAGAAAUAGUAUUGGAAAUCCUACGGGAGAACGCAUUGUAUGCCAAUCUGGCUAAAUGCAGUUUUGCCAAGGAAAAAAUUGGCUAUCUCGGUCACUUCAUAUCUGAGAAGGGAAUUGAGGUGGAUCCAGAGAAGAUUAGAGCUAUCAAGGAAUGGCCAGUGCCUACUGGUGUGAUAGAAGUCAGGGGGUUCAUAGGCCUUACCAGGUAUUAUAGGAAGUUUGUGCAGAAUUAUGGAAGCAUUGCCAAUCCAUUGACACAGUUACGGAAAGCAGGGGGUAUCACUGAACAAAGGAAGCAAGUGUGGCGUUUGACAAAUUAAAGAUGGCUAUAAUGACACUUCCAAUACUAGCAAUGCCAGAUUUUAACCUUCCAUUUCAAGUAGAGACAGACGCAUCUGGUUUCGGUGUGGGGGCAGUAUUGGUUCAAGCCAAGAGACCCAUUGCUUUCUUUAGUAAAACACUAUGCAUAAGGGAUAGAGCUCGUCCGGUUUAUGAAAGGGAACUAAUAGUAGUGUUAUUUGUUGUGCAAAGGUUGUAGACCAUACUUAUUAGGGAAGAAAUUCACAAUGAAAACUGACCAAAAAUCACUUAAAUUCUUGCUAUAACAAAGAAUGAUUCAACCCUAAUACCAGAAGUGGAUAGCCAAGCUUUUGGGAUACUCGUUUGAGGUGGUUUACAACCCGGGGUUAGAAAAUAAGGCAGCCGAUGCCUUGUCCAGAAUGACACCUACAAUUCACAUCAACCACAUCUCCGCUCCAGCAUUGCUUGACUUAGCUAAGAUCCAAGAAGAGGUAGAUAAAGAUCAGCAGUUGCAAGAAAUUAAAAAAAAAAGAUAGAAGGGCAGCAAGAUGAGGUUCCAAACUUCUCUUUACAGCAGGGAGUGUUGAAAUAUAAAGGGAGACUGGUGUUGUCAAAGAACUUAGUGCUGCUGCCAACUAUUCUGCACACAUACCAUGACUCCGUUUUUGGGGGACACUCAAGAUUCCUUAGAACUUACAAAAGAAUGACUGGGAAAUAUAUUGGGAAGGGAUGAAGAGGGACAUCAAAAAGUACUGUGAAGAAUGCCUCAUUUGUCAGAAAAACAAGACCCUUGCUUUGACCCCUGCUGGAUUGCUUUCACCUUUGGAAAUUCCUAAUGAAGUAUGGUCGGAUAUCUCUAUGGAUUUUAUAGAAGGCCUACCGAAAUCGGCUGGGAAAGAAGUGAUUUUUGUGGUAGUGGAUCGCUUGAGCAAAUAUGCUCACUUUAUAGCCAUUAAGCAUCCCUUCACAGCCAGCUCUGUAGCAGCAGAAUUUGUUAAAGAGAUAGUGGGACUCCACGGGUACCCCCAAACGAUCGUGUCAGAUAGAGAUAAGAUCUUUGUCAGUCAUUUCUGGAGGGAAAUGUUCAAGUUAUCGGGUACUAAGUUACAUCGAAGUUCAGCUUAUCAUCCACAAUCCAACGGUCAAACAAGGGUGGUCAACAAAGGUGUGGAAGUGUAUCAGGUGUUUUUGUGGAGAGAAACCGAAGGAUGGGAGUGAAUGGUUACAUUAGGCCGAGUACUAGUACAACACCACCUAACGUAGCUCUAUUGGAAUCACCCCAUUUCAAGUUGUUAACGGUCAUCUGCCCCCACCCUUGAUACAGUAUGGAGAUAUGGAGACUCCUAACUCCACCUUAGACAAGCAGUUGAAAGAGAGAUGUGAUCCUAGGGGCACUGAAAGAGCAUCUACGUUUGGCUUAAAAAAGAAUGAAGAAAUAUGCUGAUCGGAAAUGCAGGGAUGUAGAAUAUCAAGUUAAUGAUAUGGUCUUUUUGAAAAUACGCCCAUACAGACAAUCAUCAUUGUGAAGGAAAAGAAAUGAGAAGCUGACAACCAAUUUUUUUGGCCCCUUUAAAAUCUUGGAGAGAAUUGGAAUCGUGGCCUAUCGGCUGGAAUUACCCAGUUUAGCCUCUAUUCAUCCUGUCUUCCAUGUGUCCCAACUAAAGAAACCUCUCAGAAAUCAUGAGCAAAUACAACAGCUAGUUCCGUAUGUAAAUGAAAAGUAUGAAUGGCUGACUUAAUCAGAGGAAGUAUUCGGGUAGCGGAAGAAUCCUAUCUCCAGGAUGGGAGGUGUUGAUUAGUUGGAAGGGGUUGCCACCUCAUGAAGCGACUUGGGAGGACUGUCAAUACUUCAAACAGCAAUUCCCAGAUUUUCAGCUUGAGGACAAGGUGGCUUUAGAAGUGGAAAGUAAUGCUAGGUCCCCGAUAUUCAUCACGUAUAGUAGGAAAAAGAAAGGGAAGGACAGAAUUACAUGUGGAGCUGGGGGAGAAGGAAAAGGGCAGGACCAUCGUCUGUGGGGUCCACUAGUUAGUUAGAAUAAAUAGAAUAAGAAGGAGAGAGAAAGGGCAUCGAAGAUCAUUUCUGAAAGGGUGGAGGCUGUUCUUCCUUGAGUAGGAAGAAAGCAGGGAGUUCAGGUUUUAUUGUUCUUGGUUUUCAUUGUUCAUUGCUGAUUGUUGCUUUAUUGUUAUUAGAAUUUCCUAUUCUUAGUUUUAUUGCACGUCAAUUGUUAAACAUUGUGUUCUGGAGCUUUCUGUGGUAUUUCGAACUCUAUAUUGUGACUGUUGGAAGUUUUAUUGAUUACGGUUGAAGAAAGUGAAUAUAUAUAUAUAAAGGUACAGCUGAAGUAUCUUUACAGAAUGUUUCCAACCAAAGUUCCAAACAGCUGUUCUUCCUUGUUUUCCAACAGAAUUGAGGGGUUACGUUGCGUUACAACUCAAUAAAGGCUGUUACGGCCUCAUGUAAUGCAUAUAAAAUAAACAAUUCAAACAAAAUAUCAGCUUUAACUUAAACAAGAAAGUGGCCUACUUAAGUUUUGAUUGAAUUUCAAGAAUUCAAGCGAGUUAACAUAGAAUGUGUUGUCUGUUAGCCAGAAGAAGCACCAACAUUUAUAUUAGCCUAGUAACAACUUAGCACUAACGUAAAACUAAACUUAUAGGAAGACAUCAGGCUUAUAUAACGUGAUUGAAAAACAAAAGGUAAGGAUAUGACAGUAGAUGCACAGUAGGUAGAGGCACAGUGGAAAAUGUUCUCAGUCCUCAAACUUUCAAAAGCUGCAUUUUGUUGGAAAAUGCUAAAGCAAUCCAAUCAGGUUGGGCGGCAGACCACUGCAACUGGUUAAUUUCAAAUGCAGCAGAAUACAUGGACAUUGGAUCAAUGCCAUUGGGGCCUGCAACCAUAGGCAGCUCCCAGAUGAGGGCCUGCUUGUCAUCCCCUGCGGAACAAAUAUGCCUGCAGCUCCGAGGCGCCCAGGCUAUAGCAUUGACACUGGAAUGAUGCCUCUCCAAUUCAGCAACCGGCACACUUGGUGAGCGAAUGUCCAAAAUAACAAUUUUGUUGCUGUCCAUCAGAAUUGUGGCCAUAUACCGCAGGUCCUGUUUGUUCCAUGCCAGUCUGAGCAAAGGGGUAUCAGGUUGGGGGCUUUCGUAUAUAAUGGUAGAGUGCUCCUUAUCUCUCAUGUCGAAAAUCCUUACCGACCCAUCAGCGGAAACAGAAGCAAAAACCCGGGCUUCCCCCCAAGCAAUGUCAUAAACCUCUUUGUCGUGAGCUAUGAACUGGGUUUCCACCACACUCUUCUCAAUGUCCCAAAUAGUACAAGUGGUGUCAAUACUGGAGGUUCCAAUUCUCUUGGGCUCAACUUCAUUCCAGUCGAAGGAAGUUAACGGGGCACAGAAUUCACUGGUUUUGCUGUUGUUGAGGAGGGAGAGGGGUUCGAUGGAAGAAUCUCCGAGUUUCCAGAGGCGGAGAGAGUCGCCGGAGGAGGCCAAGAGAGAGGAGAGGGGACUGGGAUUGAACAUGAGCUUGGUGGGUGGGUAGGGGUGCUCAAAGGAGAGGGAAGGAUUGGCUUUAAUGGAGAUAGAAUCUGGAUCAAAAGACACAAUGUCGACGCGGUUGUUGUACUCUUCGACGAAGCUGCCAAGCGCUAUGCGACUGGAGAAAUUAAGAGAGUGUGCGUGAGGGGAAGAAAUGGCCAUGGCGUAGAGAGGAUGCGGAGAUUCGUAGGUCGCCAAGAAUUCGGAUCUGGAGGCUGCGUGUUCCAUGAUUCCAAAAGCGAAGAACGAUGGAAUAGACUGAGAGAGACAAUGAAGGACGAACUGAUGAUCGGUACACGGAACGCCGACGAGAUGGCGACUGUCGAACGAUGGCUUUGCUCAGAAAAAUAAAAACGAAAUGGAAAAAUUGUGGAACGCGUUGAGGAUGGAAAAGUAGGAGGCAGGCGGUGCGAAGUCAUAAGGAAAAUCCCCCGAACUGACCCAAAAUCUCAACAACGUCCACAAAUUGGUGAGAAUAGUCAAGUUCGAAACCUCGUUUUGAAAAAGAACUACAUUUUUAGUCUCUGUUUUGUUAAAGAUUGCUUUUGCUCCAUCAGUUUUAAAAAAUUAUAACAAUAGAUUCAUUAGCCUUUUUUUUUUUGUUUUUUAUUUUUAAAAAAUUGAUUUAUAAGACUGAACUUAAAAAAAUAGGUUUAUAAGAUCUUUAGGUCGUUUCAUUUUCUUAAAUAACUGUAAUAAAUUUUAAAAAUUAGAUUUUUAAAAAAUAGAACAAAACGUAAAAAUACAUCUUAAACAACAAUUUUGAAAAAGGAAAAUUCCCUUAGUAAAUGAAGCAACAAAAAUACUGUAACACUCGAACCGUAGGUAUCUUAGAUUUUCCAAAGAAAGUAGGCUUGAGAAGUGUUUUGGUAAGUGUGUUGUGAUGGGUGAAAAGAAGGAAGCUCAUGUUGAGGAAGUCUAAGAGGUUAGAAAGAAGGGAAAAUUUUUGUUAAGCAUGAAAGAAUUAGCAAUUUAGGCGUUUUGGUUUGGCUUGCCGAAAUAGUUAUAAAUUUAGAAAGGGCUUUUUAGUGUUUAAAGUUAGGUGUUUUAGCUAAACUUCAUAACGGAGUUUCUCACAACUCACUUGGGAGUUUUCAUUCAAAUUGAUUUUAAAAGUUCAAAAACUGAGUCUAGUUUAUUGAGAAAGGAGGCUGGACAUUUUAGAUAUGAGCAAGUUGGCGUUUUGGAUAAGAGAAGAUGAAAAGGUCAGUUCGCGAGUGAAUUAGCAUAAGGUAUAGUUCCAUAAAGCUAUAAAACGCAUAGUUUGGUUUUUUUCUCUGUAAUGUGAAGGUAAAAAAGUUAACUCGUUUUAGAGUAACUUUGUAGAAGGAAGUUUUAUAAAAUGAUUACGGAUUUUAAGUUAUAACUUUUCUAAGUCGGGUUAUGUAGUCUGGGCGAGAAAGUAAGCGAGAUGGUCUUGGAGGCUAGCUAUGCGUUUUGGACAACUAUAUGACAUGAUUAAGGCAAUCGGUUUAAGGAUUUAGUGAAGUGUCAAAACCUUGUUAGCAUGCAUUUUUUAGGUGUAAAAGUAAGCAAAAAGUGUCUCAAUAAGGUUUAAGGUGGCGUUAAGCAAGGAUGAGGUGUCAAUGUAAAUUUAUGCAAUGGACUCUAUAAUUAGGUUAUUUCAUAUUCACUUUUCUCCCAGUCCACUCAUGUGUUUUGAAUGAAAUUACUCUCAAAAGUUUCCAUUUUGAGUCUAUUUUCUAAGAUGUGGCUGCACGUUUAAUUGGAGUAAGAGAGGGUUGAGUUUUAGUUGUAGAAAGCGAGAAAGGUCAUAAUAUGGAUGUUUAUGAACAAAGUGAACUUCCAGAAGGUCGUAGAGUUCAUCUGUUGGAAUCUAAAGCUAAUUUUUUUAGGUAAGAAUAUUACGAUAUUUUGCAACAAUUUUUUAGAAUAAAGUAUUUUCAUUUGAAUUCUGAAUUUUAUGUUAUUAAGCUUUAAAGUUAAGUUAAGGUUCUGGCCAAAUUACGAGUUUCUGGAUUGAUUGGAGGUUGGCGGAUUGACAAGGUAAGACUAGGCAAAUUAGGUGUGCAUUUUGGUUUAAGAGAGGUUUUUUGAGGUGUUUUGGGCUUAGUUUGGAUGCAUAGCACGUCCAAGAUAUGUGCAUGGCCAAAGCUCUGCCACUCAUCCUCACACGCUAACCGUGUCAAAUAAGUAUCUUGGGGCUGUUUUUGAUGUUUUGGAAAUUUUAAGCAAAGUUUGAUGUGUUAGAAUAAAAGAGAAUUAGUUGGAGUUGUUUUCCAUUAGUUCAAGACAAGAAAAAAUCGGACAAGCAUAUCGACCAAGGGUUUGAUUUGCGAUCAGUGAGUGAAAAAUGAGUUUACUAAAGUUAUUCAUGAUUUAUAGAUUUAUGAGUAAUAAAAUGAUUCAUAAAUAACGAUUCUAAUAUGUUUUACAAGCUAUAAUUUUAAAAUGCUUUUAAGUAUCCUUAUUUCUAUUUAUCAACAUGUUUAUGGAAAGUGUUAAAGCAUGUUAUUUAGAAAAGUAUUCUAAAGCUUGAGUUUAGAAAUGUUUUUAGAAAGCAUGUAUUUAUAAGAUUUACAAGCAAUGAUUUAUAAAAUGCAUGAGUUUAAUAGAAUAAUUUAAAGAGAAAACCAUGGUACUCUAUAUAUCGUGUUCUCGAUGGUCAAUGUGUACAGUCAUGGGUAUAUGGCUAUCUAACCACUUAGUCGCUACCACUAAGUUCAGGCAGGAAUAAUAUGACCAAAGGUGUUAUACUAUCUUGACCGAGUUUAUUAUGAAUAGUAUGACCAAAGGUGCUCUGCUAUCUUGUUUAAGUUUUUCCUAGAUAUAGAGUGUACAAAGUUGAAUGAAUAUUUGAAUGUUAAAGGUGUUCAAUUUCUAAGUGAUUUCUUAAAAUUUAUAUGUUAUGUUUUGUUUAUGAAAUGUUUAAUUUGUAUUUGUUUUAUAAAACCAUCACUCACAGGACUUUUUAGCUCAUCGUUUCAAAAUGUUUUUCUACUUUCUAGGUAGAGGUCAUGAUCCAAGAACUUGAUGCUGUCUUCAGACUGAUGUGUGAAGUUGUGAUAGUUUAGUUAUUAAGGGUCAGUUUAAAUCUUAUUGUGUACAUGGUUUUGCAUAAGGUUAAGUGUUGUUGUAUAAUUUUAUUUGGUAUGUAAGUAAAGUUUGUAAUCUAUGGCAUUUAGCUUCGACUACCUGUUUAAAGUAUAAGAAAUUGUUCAAGUUGUAUCUUGUAAGUUUCUGUUGCAUAAGUUUUAAUUUACCUAAGUUGUUUAGCAUUGUAAAAGUGUAGUAGUUAGAGUCAAUUGAUAUUGUUCAAAAGUUUAAUAAUGACAUCGAUUGACUUCACUCCAGGUCACGGGUCGAGCAAGCAGGUGCUCAAGGUGGGGUGUGACAAAUACCCUGUGAUGAAUCAGCGACACGUGCAUGCAAAAAAACUUUUAAUUUAAAUAAUUAAAUAAUAUAGUCUAAAAGAUCGUUUAGAUAUUGGUACACGAUCGUUUGAAUCUAUCACUUACCUAUCUAGAAUAUAUAGUGCCACGCCUCGCUUUAAAAACACUUUAUGUAGUGAAGAGGAGACGUGACCAUAUAAGGCCCCGAUCGCAUGUAGCCAAUGCGACAAAAAGUCUUACGAUUAGAAAGAUACAUGAAGAGAUUUUCCGAUCACGGAAGUGUUAGCUACAGCCAAAUCACGAUAAGAACUCUGGCGCCAGAGGGCACGACGAUCAGACGAUUAAAGUCACAAUCUACUUCACCUAGGAGAUGGUGAUGUGAUGCAAAAGAUGGUAGGUCGACAAUUGAUGGACCCGACCACCCACCCUGAGUUCAGGAUAAAGCAUGUCAGAGGCACAUGUCAUUUUUGGAUUAGGCGACUUUCCACCAUUGGUUAGGGAAAUCAUUUUAGUAUAGAGAGACCCACUAGAAAAAAUCUAUAAAUAAAAAGCUCAAGCCAUCUGAAAAUACUUCUUACCUUUAUCUUGUGGAGAGAGGGAGAGAUAAUUUAAAGGUGCUUAUGGAUUUGAGGCAGAGGCAAGCUCAUUCCGAUCCAAAUUUCAGAACUAGAAAAGGGACCUUGAUUAGAGAAGCAAAAAGGGAUGACCAUGUUGGAAAACAAACUAGGGCUAGAUAUAGCGAAAGUAACAUAAAAAAUUUCUUUGACCCUUAAAACGUAAACAGACCAUGCAGAAGCAAUUAAAUCACAAAUAAACAUACCUUUUUUGUCAAUGUUCCAAAUUCAAAUUGCCUUGUUCUGAUAAGGAUGAUCAUCCAAAUUCGUAUCACCAAAACACUGCAAAAAAUUACAAGCAUUCUCUAACACUAUCCACACAGGAACUAGAAAUUCUACUCCUCGAAUUCAGGUCUACUAGAACCUCACAAAAUGAGAAUUUCGACUCUUUCUAUUAUCUCUUUGUGUAGAAUGAAUUUUAUGACUUUGCUUGCAUUUUGCUUCUCUAUAAAAUAAGACCCCUAAGGUAUUAUUUAUAGGCUUCGUGAGGUUUUCUAAUAAGCUUAGAAUUCCUAAUAAGCUUCCAAUUCUCCAAUAUCAUAAAUUAUAACCAUAUUUUCUUAUUAGAGAAUAAGAAUUAGAAUGACCUUUUUUGUGAUUAUUACAUUGACAUGUGUCAUAAAUAAUCUCAAAUAAUUGAUUGUUUUUUAUUCUUAAACUCGAGAUUAUCAUAGUGUCAAACAUAAGAAUUAAUCUACUUUGUGCAAUCAAACGUUAUCUUUAACCGGAUAAUUAUAAAUGUGUACUCAAAUACGUUAUGAAUUAUGUAGUUGACAAUGAUUAAUUAAAAUGGAAUUUAUCUCUCUUGUUAUAGUGAGAUAUCUUUGGGCCCCUCGAUUAAGCGUGACUGUGGAAAUGGUGAUAUAAAUGAAUUAAUAAGGGUAUUAAUAUCAUUUAUUAUUUCAGUAUGCUUAUUGAACGAGAAAACAAUUAAAUUAGAUAAGGUGACUUUGUCUAUGCCUUAUAAAAGGACUAAAACAAUAAUUAUAUUAGGUUAUGUUGGAUCAUCGAUUUAAUUUAAGAAAGAUUUAGAAAAAAAACCUAAAUUUAAUACGAAAUUUCACAAAUGUCCUAAACUAAAAUUUAUUUUCUUAAUUAGGAUUUCGUAUAUUUUUAUGACAAUAAUUAUAUUAAUAAGUUUUCAAACUGUUUCAAGGCGUCAUGAGGGUUCCUUCCAAAGGAAUCUCAUAAUUGGGUUAACCCAAGAUCUGACUACAACCUUGUUGUGCCCAACAAGUAUCGUAACGUCAACUAGGCCACUUCCUAAGCCUAAGUCCUAUGCCCAAACGAUAAAAGCAACGAUUUUCAUGCCGCGACCUCCGAUAACAGAAUAUCAAACCAAAGCUAUUCUGGAAGAUGUCGUCAUUGAAUCAAAAUUUGACAGACCUUCCGUCCAAGAAUUUUGUUCUCAAAUAUUUCUGCAUGGGUUUAAUUUCUUUUCGGAAGAUAUAAAAAAGACGAGACAAUUUUAUGAGUUUAUUUUGGUAGACACAAUUUCUACCAAAAUCACUCAUAUUCUAGACAAGAAUAGUUAGAGAAGAUUGUCUACUCCAAAUUAAAAAAUUUCAUGGUCCAAACACCAUUCCACUAGCCUCAAGAGAAGUUUGUUCCUAGAAAAUUUUCCAAGUCUUUCAACCCUCAAAUGUACAUUUAUCUUGAUUACAUGGAAGCUUGGUACAAAGUACUCUGCCACGAGUCCCAUAACCAUUCUUGGUUUAUUAUGUUUUGUAAGAAACCUUACAAAAUUAAUUUUCCAAACUAGUUUAAAAAUGGUGGAGCUACUUCGACCUAACUCCAAAAAAUUUUCUAGUCGAGGUCCAAUGUGCAUACCGCCAAUUCUCAACCAACAUAUAUUCGUCUGCCCUCUCGUCGAUGUAUAGAUUCUCUCUCUACUUCCAAGUGCUCUGGAUUUUCUACUGGAGCCACCAACUAUCAACCAGAGCAAAGUUCAAGAUCUUAAGAAAGAUCUUGCGUGUCAAGUGGUGGGAUAACGACUUAGUGAAUGAAGAGAAAAUAGCAAAGUGGUUCAAGACAAACACUCAUCUUUCUCAAGAAGAAGAAGAUCAAUUCCUUCUUAGGAAAAAUUCAAUCAUGACCUUCAUCGCUGGAGCAAAAUCUGAAGCAGAUCUUCAAACGGUCAUGGAAACAGUCAUCCACACCAUUUAUGAUGACGACAAAGAAAAUGAUGUUGAAGAUACCAGAAUUUCUUCAAACUCAUUUGCUAAUGAUAUUGAUUUUGAUAAUGAUCCGUAUUACAAUUUCGAUAUUAGCGAUCCCUAUUUCGAUUCCCUGUUAGAAUGAAAAAUAGGUUCAAGCUUUACUUUUACUUUUACUUUUUACUUUUGUUUUUAUUUAUAUAAAAGAAAAGUACAUAAAUAAUUUUUGUGUCUUUGUACAUAAUGUCCUGUAUAUCCAGUCUGCAAUUUGUAAUCGUCGAUCAAGGUAUUCUCCGAUUGAAGGGGAGGUGAUGGAGAUGGCAUGCGAUUGAAGUGGAGUAACAAACCACAGGCCAGUGCUGUCAGCGAGGAUUGAUUAUGGGUAGGAAAACUUAGGAUGCUUGGUUAGUUAAUGGCGGGAAAGUUAAAAGUAAGUUCCUGGAUGUAUUCUAUCUCAGAGAAUCUACAGUCGUUGCAUGGUAAGACUAAUCUUGGCCAGUCAGACAAAGCCGGGUGACAUCAUGAUUAUCUUGAUGAAGAAAUUACCAAGAUAGGCUUAAGGACAACGACAUACAUAUCUUUUCAGCUUUACUUUUACUUUUGUCUAUGUGUAUUAUGUUGGCUUUUUGGCCCUUAAUCUCAAAUUAAUUUAUUUUAAUUAUUCAAUUAAUUUAUGUUUUGAUGAUAACAAAUCUGAUUUUUUUUAUUGACAAUUUUAUUAAUUUGAAUAGACCAUAUCGUAGAGUUUGGAAAAAUGAUUCUAACGUCUCUUGAAUCACCCAAAUCGAAGUUCAAAUGAAGAAAAUAUUGCUAAAAGAAAGUUAACGGAAAAAUACCCGAGAUGGUGACGUGGCGACCAAGCAUUCAAUUUGAACCAAUUAGAGAAAGCCACUUGGAGCAAUGAAGGAGUAACAAAUGUGGCUUUUUGUUAUGUUUUAUUGGCUUUUAUAAAGAAAAUGAAUUUAAAAAGAAAAUGAUUUUAAUAUUAUUAUUUUUUCUUGUGUCUAACGGCUAGUUAUUUAAAAGAUGGUGAAGUUGCUUUAUUGAUUUCUUUUUAAACAAAGUAUUUUGAAAAGACAUAUUAUUAUAUUAUUAUUUGUAUUGUGUCUAACGGCUAAUUAAGUUUAAAUCUCAACCAUUCAUUUUUCUUUUACUUAUAUCUAAUGACCCAAAUGAUUUUGAAUUUAUCUUUUCUCUCUUUUUAAAUACUUCACAUUUACACAAGAUCAUUCAAAUCUUUACAAUCCUCAAGCAAAAAGCCAACAUUGUUAUUCUCUCUAAAGCUUCCAAUUUUUAUUCUUUUCAUCUUAUUCUUGAGAGCUUCUUAUUGUAUUGUGAGGAUUAAAUUUGUGAGCUUCAAAUUGUAUACUCACUCUUUUAGAGAGUUUUCUUUUGUGUGAUUUAAAAACUUCAACAUAUUGUAAUGAUUGGAUCCUAACCCGUGGAAAGGAUCGGGUUUGCUCUUGAACCCGAAAAAAGAGCAAGAAUCGGUUCGGCUCAAAUCCGUGGAAAGAGUCCAAAGAAGAUUUUCAAUCAAAAUCCCAAGAGGUGCUUGGGAAAGUGGAUGUAGGUUGAGUUUAACCGAACCACUAUAAAAUUAUGGUGUCUUCUUCUCUAACUCUUUUUUAACUAUUUUUAAUUUAAUUUUAGUUACAUACUCUUUUUGGUUGAGUUUGAUUGCAUACUUCCAUUCAUAUAUUUUUAUCAAUCUUGUUAUUUAACAAAGUUUACAAAGUUCUUUAUUUAAAUUUAAAAAGUAUCUAAUUAGUUGAUUUUACUUUUUAUUUGUCAAAAAGUUUAUUUAAACCCUAUUCACCCCCCUCUAGGGUUGCCAUACCGAUCCAACAUAUUAUUUUGUCUUCUUGUAGUUAUUUCUAUUUAGUUUGUAUUUUAGUGUUUUGUUAGAUUACAAAUAGAUAAGGAUAAGUAGGGGUCCUGUCCCACCCAAAUCUUACCGUAAUCUUUUAAUUUAAAAAAGAAAGAUUCCAAAGAGAUAAGUUAUCGGUUAGGGGUCCUGUCCUGUCGACCACUCUAUGUCUUUCUUUUUUGUAUAAUUAUUAUUGAUAUGUGUAACAACUUGCAUGGAUAAAUGAUAUCUCAGUGGGAGAUUCAUCUAUCUAUCUAAGGGCACCUCAUCCUUGAAUGGUCACUUUUUGUUACUUUUCAAUUUCAACGCCUCAUUCAAAUUGGAUAUUGGACUAACCGAUUUUGUUAUUUUUACAAUAUUCAUAUCCAUGGCUUUUAAGUGUAAUUUUGUUAAACUAUUUUGUAAUUCUUGCAAAAGAAUAGUAUGAUGUGUAUGUAAAAGAUAGGAUAAGAUAAAGGAUGUAGGACACCACAUUGCCUCAUAUAUUGUCAACAAAGUGAAGAAGGUAAGUCAACUCUUAGAUUUUAUCUCUUGAAGUCGUUGGAAGGAAGUGGCCAAAAGUGGAAAGUUACAAGGGCAUUGAUUCUAUGGGUGAUGUGAUACGAGACUGUUGCGUCUUUUAAAAAAUAUGUGUGAUUUUUGUUUUUGUUUUUUUUUCUCUCGUCAUCCCUUUUAAUUCCCACAAAUCUGAUUAAGCUUUCCCACUCUCAAAAUUGUUGUGAGUUUAGGUUUUACAAAAGUCCUGAUAGUACUCGUGGUUGGAAGGGAGGAAUAAUCUCAACCUUCUGUCAUACUGUUUUUCUGUUCUAUCUUCUACCAUUGAACUUCCUCUUCUGUUUUCUUUAUUUAGAUUGCGAGGUAUUGUUUUCUUUUUCUUAAAUAUUAUAUGGAUGAUGUUCUUGAAAUUUGAUUUUAUGCAUUUAUGUAUACGAUCUUUAACUUGAUUUUACAUGUUUAAUGAUGUAUGAUUUUUGGAGUGUAAUACAAGCAUCAUGGUUGGGUUCAAUGGAUGAUUUUAUGCUAUAUUUUCAACUAUUUUCAUUAAAUAUUCUUUAGUUUGUGAAUAUGUUAUCAUGCAUAUAUGUGUAUGUAGUUGUGUAUAUGUAUGAAAGAUAAACAUUUAUUGAUUUUAAAGUGUUAAUAAUAUUUUAUAAAUAUCUAUUUGGGGGGUUUUUGAAAAAAUAUAACCAAACAUAACAAUAUUUUCACACUGUAUAACAAUUUUGAAAAUAGAAAAAGCUCACAACGUGAAAUAACAAAAAUACCCAUCGAUCACACAAGCGUGAAAAAAAUGAUUGUAAAUGAAUUUGUACCCAAUCUAAACAAUCAUGUACAAAAUCUAAUGAUCUUGGUACACGAUUUUGUACCCAAUCUACAACCUAAUCAAAACGAUCUUGUACACUUAUUCCUAAUCAAAACGAUCUUAUACCUUUGUACCCUAUCUACAGUAUAAGUUACACAUUUUGAUCAUCUUUUUAUCUGUUUUGACCUCAUUAUUCUAAUAAAAGGAGCUACAAUAACAGAUACUUAUACACGUUGUCAUAAGUUUGUUGGCAACGACACAAAAAACUUGGUGUGUUUUUUUGAACUCAGUGUACAGUGUUGUGUUUGUCUAUAUCUAUUUCUACCUGCUAAGUCAUUGGUCGUGAUCAUUGCAUGCGAGAUGCUCACUAUGUCUCUCUUCCUCACAUAGUUACUAAGUCCUCUUUGAGUACAAAUUCUCCUAUUACUAGUUCAAGUAUAAGGGAAACAAUAGAUUUCCUGAGUAAUCCAAGGUCAAACACAGGAAAUUGAUUGCAAUUUUUAGAUCUAAGGCUUACUCUUCAUUCAUAAGGUAUAAAAUAACUAACUAUAUAGUAUAAAGUAAAGUAUGACUAAGCAAAACUAUUAUCUACACUAGAUAAUCUGUAAAAGGAGAAUAGGAAUGGAGGCUAGAUGAAUGUGUGAACUAACUUGUGUUAAGAAUGAGGGAAGGAAGGUUUUCGUGUAAUUUGGGGUUAAACCAUGUGGCAGCCUUGAUGCAGUAGAGCUUAGUUAACUAGUUUAUGAUUAAGGCGAGCACCAAAUCUCAGUGCCUUAAACACCACUCUUGCUCCCCUCUCAGAAUGCAAAUGAUAAAGCUUGAUUAAGCGAGAUCUAUCUAGAAGGGUUCACUUAUAAGACUUAUAGCAUUUCUCUAGCUCAGUGAGAUUAAGAAUUAUCAUAAAUCAGCUCCAAAACCCCCUCAAAGAUAUCUAAAUCAAUCACACUUUUAUAAAUACAUUAUUAAUACUUCAGACAAAUAAGUUUAUUCUCUAUUCAAAAGUUUCACUUCCUGCACUUCUAAUUAUUUGCUCUUUGGUUUGAGCAUUAGAGCAUGCGUCCCAAAUACUAAAUCAAGUUGUAGGUUUUACUAUUAAUUUGCAGAUUAGUCUCUUCUUAAUUUUAUCAAACAACUUUAUUAUUGUUGUCACGUGGAAAUUAAUUGUAUUUUAUCAUGUCAUGGCAUGACGAUUCAUUACCUUUAAAUCAUAGAUAUUCACAUCUUAAUAUGAAUGUACUCUCUAAAAAUUAAUAAAAAAAAUAGUUUUAGAAAAACACAACCUAACACGUAAUUAAAAAAACGUUGUAAUUGGAUUUUAGUGGAUCGUGUCUUAAUAAAUUAAUUUUGAAAAGAGACAUUUUAAAAAUAGCAAAAUAAAUUAAAAUAUCUACAAGCUAUAACAAAAUUUUGGAUUUUAUCAAUCAUAGUCUUCUAUCGCUCUACCAUAUCAAUAAUAGAAUUUUGUAGAUAUUUAAUAAAAUUUGCUUUUUCUUUUUUAAAUUCCCGUUCAGAAAACAAUAAUAACUCAAUUUUUGAAAUAGUUUAACUGACUGCUAUUUUUGUUAUUUUAAUGAACCACAUUUUGGCACUCACUCAACUUUUGGCUUGCUCAAAAUGUUGGCUACACACAUAUAGCCAACAUAUAUAUAUAUACAUUGUUAUUGUUGUUAUUAUUAUUUUAAACUAAGAAGACAUGCAUAUAUGUCAAUCUCAACGAAACAAUAGAAAACAAUAAUUAAAUAAAGAAAAAGACAUACAUGUCCCUACAAGCUAGCCGGCUGGUGCAUUCUAGUGGAUGAACGAUGCCAAUUGGAAGACGAUAAAAAUAUUUAAACCAAAGUUGGAAUUUUAUGUUCACACAAAUAUUUUUUAAAUGCACACUUCAAUCUCAUCUUUCACAUAAUUCUUUUAGAUUUUUUGAAACAUGAAUUUGAAACUAACAAAAUGUUUUCUAGAUUCUGUCCAUAUAAGUUUUCAAAUAUUUAAAUAACAAAUUUCGGCUUUGGAAGAUUCAAAUAAGUUUUGUCACAUUCUGAAACUCAUUUAUUGACAAUUGUCAAGUGCGAAUUAAAUGUUUUUCUUUAGAAAAAUGAAUAUUAAGUCAUUGAGUUUAAUAUUUGUUUGAAUACCCACAUUUUAAAACCUCUAAAAUAAAAUUUUGGUCUAUGCAUCAUAUUUUAGUCUAUGCUUUUAUUGUCAAUUUAAAGUUAGUUUUUACAUAUGUGUCUAUGUAAUCUUAAUAAACCUGAAAGUUAAUCUUGUAAUUUUAAAUUAAAGUCGUUAACUUCUGGUAAGCUAAUAACUUAAUAAUUGAUAAUAAUUUCCAUUUAUAGUCUUUGUUUUUCUAUUUAGAAAAACCAAGUGUGUAGAACUAUUUCUAAGAUUAUAAUUUUUUAAGACUAGGAAAAAAAAUGGUCCACUUAUCAUUUUCAUCUCUAUAAAGUGUUAAAAUUUUUAAUUAUCUAAUUUUAAUAAAGGGUUUUUCUAAGAAUAAAAAAAAAAAAAUACAAACUUUACAUUUUAUGGCAAAAUUUAAGUAGAUUGAGUUUUUGUCUUUUAGUAAAAAAUUAAUGUUGAAAUAAAUGGUAAAUAGUUUGUCUAUUUUCUCAUUUUUGACAAUUUUCUUUCAAUUUUAAAUUUAGUUCUUAUUGCUUGGAGUGAAAAAUUAAUGCAUUUUGUCAUUGUUUAUAAUUUUCUUUAAAUUUUAAAUUUAGUUAAUAUUGUUUGGGCUUGAUUUAAAAUUUUCUAAUCUACAUUUUUACUAUAAAUUUUGUAAACAUAAGCAUAUAUGUUGGUAAGAAGUUGGAGAUUUUGAGAUUACAUCUACUAAAAUUGAACCAUAGAAAGUAUUGGUUGCAUGUUUAUAAAAUAUAGUAUUUUAGAAAACAAUUCAUGUAAAAAAGAAUGAACCAUCUAAAUUUGUAAUGUUCCCAAUGAAGUAUAGAACAGAAGGAUAAGAAUGAAAAAUGAUAUUGUAUUAUUAAUUUAUUUAGAAGAUUAUUGUUAUUUUAGUAUAGAAACAUUAUCAAAACAGACAAAAUAAAAACAGGCAGGAAAUAAUUACUAUAUUUAACUUUGUAACAUUUAGUUUAAAAUAUUGAAGGAAAAUGAUUGCUGAGGUAAUGACUAUUGCAGGACUUAGAAGUAGAUUCAUAUCAGAACAGGCCGGCAACACAAGAUUGUUCUUAGACUUUCACAAAACAUUAUAUAAAUAUAUUGUCAUUAUUCAUUAUUAUUCAUUAUUCAUUAUAUAUAUAUAUUCUCGCACUAUCACAGGAAGAGGGAAUACAAAAUUUUGAGAAAACCAGAAUCCACAUUUGUCUCAAUUCAAUAGAGAUUCACACCACAACUUUGUCGACAUCCAUUGGGGACUGUGAUCAUGGGUUUCGAAGGAGAUGAAGAAUCCUCCUCUCCUCAGAUUUUAACAAAAUCCCCAUUUAGAUAUAACUCUCCCUUGGUCCAAGUUUCGUUAAUUGGAUUGGUUUGCUUUUGUUGUCCUGGUAUGUUCAAUGCCCUCAGUGGUAUGGGGGGCGGGGGCCAGUUGGAUUCCACCGUUGCCGAUAACGCUUCAACUGCUCUCUACACCACUUUUGCAAUAUUCGGCAUCAUCGGAGGUGGUGUAUACAACAUCCUUGGUCCUCGUCUCACGCUCUUUGCAGGCUGUUCCACUUAUGUUCUUUACGCUGGAUCCUUCCUUUACUACAAUCACUACAAGGACCAAACCUUCGCUAUCAUUGCAGGCGCAAUUCUUGGAGUGGGUGCUGGCUUUCUCUGGGCUGGUGAAGGCGCCAUCAUGACUUCCUAUCCGCCCCCUGGUCGAAAGGGCACUUACAUUUCUAUCUUUUGGAGUAUUUUCAACAUGGGUGGUGUUGUUGGUGGUCUUAUUCCCUUUGUCCUAAACUACCACCGCACUACUGCUUCUUCCGUCAAUGAUGGUACCUAUAUUGGUUUCAUGUGUUUCAUGUCUAUUGGGGCUGUCACUUCUCUUGCCAUUUUGCCCCCCAGUCGUGUGGUUCGCGAUGAUGGUUCGAGAUGCACCAACAUCAAGUACUCCAGCGUUUCAGUGGAGUUUGUGGAGAUUCUCAAGUUGUUCCUUAAUUGGAAGAUGUUGUUGAUUGUUCCGGCUGCAUGGUCUAGCAACUUUUUCUAUACCUACCAAUUCAAUAACGUGAAUGGGGCGUUGUUCAAUUUGAGGACAAGAGGGUUCAACAAUGUAUUCUAUUGGGGAGCACAGAUGCUGGGGUCAAUUGGGAUUGGAUACAUAAUGGAUUUCAGUUUUAAGAGUAGGAAGACUAGAGGUUUGUUUGGAGUUAGCUUGGUGGCGCUAUUGGGUACUGGAAUAUGGGCAGGUGGACUGGCUAACCAGCUUAGAUACUCUCGCAACAAGGUCCUGGACAAGUUGGAUUUCAAGGAAUCGGGCUCUGAAUUUGUUGGGCCUUUCUUCUUGUACUUCUGUUUCGGGCUGUUGGAUGCUAUGUUUCAGAGCAUGGUUUACUGGGUUAUUGGAGCUUUGGCGGAUGAUUCAGAGACCUUGAGCAGGUAUGAGAUCAACGUGUUAUUAUUUCACAUAUAAAAAUUAUUGAGAUUAUAUCAUGUAAUUAUUGAAGAUAAAACACACAGGUACAGUGGAUUCUAUAAAGGAGUGCAGAGUGCAGGAGCUGCAGUGGCUUGGCAAGUUGACAACCACCAUGUUUCCUUCAUGCGUCAGCUGGUUGUGAACUGGUCACUCACAACACUAAGUUAUCCUUUGUUGUUGGUUCUCGUGUUUUUGGCUGUCAAUGAUGACGUCCAUGACGAAAAGAAGUUUAUCGACGAAACUCGCAAGGAGGUUAACUCUUCUAUAAUUACCUAACCCACCCUUGCACUGAUAUUGCAAAGCCUAAGUUUCUAUAUUUUCGUCUCUCUGCUUUCUUUUUUUCCAUAUCUUCUUGAUGUAAUGCGUUCAUUACAUGUUGCCAGAAAUGCAAUAAUGUUGUACACAAUAUGGUUAAAUGUUUGGCUCACUAGCUACUUGGAGCUCACUCACGAAUCUAAUCAAUUACAAGCAAGUUUAGCCUUACAUGAGUUGUUUGUAAAUUAAUACAGCUGGUCAAAUGUUCAUCUUAUCCCAAUAGUUAUAAUAUCUUUCACCUUAGUUUCCAAAAGAAUUUACUAACUUUGGCACAUAUGUGCUUGACAUCAUAAUUAGAAUUUUGUUUUUUUAGAUUCAAACAUCUAAACAUUAUAAAUUUUUUUAAACAAUUUUUUUUAUGCUCAGAAUUUGAAUUUUACAUUUUAAAAACCAGAAUUAUGUUAAAUAUAUAUAAAAACAUAUAAAAGUACGAUAUGUCAUAUUAUAAAUUCAAUUCAUUUUUUGAUAUAAUAUGUACGCUAUAAUAAAUUAUAUAAAGAAAAUUGUAUUAGAUGACAAAAAAAUUUAAGAAAAAACAACUCAUAACACCUAUUUUUUUCAUAUUACAAAUUUGACAAAUAUGAUGAUAAUCCGACGGUAAUUUGCUUUUAAAUUUGCUAUUUUUGCAAAUUUAAAAAUGCAAGUAACACGAACUCUAUUAUUAUAACUUUUUACUAUUUUUGCAAACAUCCCAUUAUAUAAUAUAUAAUACAAAAUGACAACCUUAUUAAAUUUUAAGUUAAAUUACAAAAUUGUGUUUCUAUGGUUAUGAAAGAAAAGAAUUUAGUCUGUGUAUAGUUUAUAUAACAAGAAUUUAGUCUUUUUGGUUUGAUAAAUCAUAAAAAAUAGUUUUAUUUGUUGGGAUUAUUUAUGAAUAUUCUUAAAUCAUAAAAUCUAUAUACGAAGUUUUAUCAAACUAUAAGCUAAGCUCUAACUUUUUCUAAACACUAAAGACUAAAAUUAUAAAAUAAUCAAUUUUAUAAACAUAAAAUUAUAUUCAUAAAUAAGCUAAUAAUAGUUUAUUUCAACUAAAGGUUAGUGAACAAUUUAUAAAUAUAUAAUUAAAAACACUUCAACGUUUUCUAAAAAAAACUAAAAUUCAAAAUUUGAAUUUCUACUGAACACAUCUAAAAUUAUAUAUAAAAUACGACUCUGUUUUUAAUUUGUUUUUAUUUAAUCUCUUGUUUUCAAUUUUUAUUUUUUAGAUUUCCUACUAAAUAGGUCCUAUGUUUCCACCAUCCUAUUUGGUCAUGAGUUAUUGAAACUACUAGAGUCAUUCUCACAAAUAUAUAUAGUUAAAAUAUUAUUUUAAUACCUAUAUUAUAAACUUAUAGUUGCACUCUAUUGCACGGUAAGACAAGUUGCGUCUACAAAUAUAACCAUUAUAUUCUCAUUUCAAUUAUGAGUUAUUUGUAAUUAUAACUAAGUGAAAAGUUUCUCAUAUCCCUAUAAUUGCUCUAUCUUCUUAAGUAUCAUUGACUUUCUAGUGAACAAUUUGCUUAUAGUCCAGAUAUGAAUCAUCCUUCAAGUCAUUAAAAGGUCCGUGUCUAUUGUUCAAGUCUCAAAAUCAACAUUUAAGGCAACUAUUCAUAUACUUUCCCAAUAUUGAAAGAAGAGACAUAUCAAAGAUUUCAAUUACAUUUAUCAAAUAUAGUUCAUUAGUCAUUGGUUUUAUGUUGCAUAUCAUUCACAUAUUCACAAGCCUCCUACUUGGACUAUACCCUUUUGGAUUAGAAUCGAGGUUCAACACUAUGACCUUUGUGGAAUCUGUUUUCCAUUUAGAUACAUGCCCAAAUCAAACCAUGACAAGGCAUCUAAAUAUACGACCAAGGAUAGCUCGCACAUGACCAAUGAAUCAUGCGGCUAAAACUAGAUCAUGCAUAUUUAGUAUCCGCCACGAUAGCAUCCUCCAUCUGAUUCGGCCAUGGUAAAAUACUAAAUACACGACCUGAGAUAGCUCACACAUAAUUUAUAUCCACAAGGAAACGCGUGACCAAAUGGAGCUCAUGCAUACUUAGCACAUACCACAGUAACAAUCUCUAUCCAAUCCAACCAUGAUAGCAUACUAAAUACACGACCCGAAAGUGUUCAUUAGAUGAGCACUAGUAUUUAAGGGCUAGAUGUAAUCCAAGGGUAAUAUGGUAAUUUUGACCCAACUAAUGUUACGAACACCCAUGAAUAACUAACUUACUGUUAUUGCUCUAUAUUUGUGGACAUAGAAAUAUAUCUACGGUGAGAAGAGUUCAGCUGUGAGUCAUUGGUGGUGUGUACACACAAUUAACGAAUAUUGAUUAAUGUGGUUAAUGAGUUUACCAAUUAAUCUCAUAUCGUUGUAGCUUCUAAUCUGUAGGUCCAUUAAGUCUCAUUUCUAGCUCGUAAAUGGUAAUACGAUUUAUUUAUAUUUGUUGUAAUUUGAAAUGUUCAAAUUUAUUUUGGAAAUUAGUAUAAUUUAUAGUGAUACAUUAUAAUAUAAAGUUUAUAUUUUAAUAAAAUUUUAUUACAUAAAUUUAAUUUUGGAUAUAAUUCAAAAUUAAUUUAUGAGAGAUAAAAUAUUUGAAUGAGUUCAAAUAUUAAUUUAAUGUAAAUUGGAUUCAUAUUAAAAUUAUUGGUUACGAGAGAAAUUUAUAUUUGAAUAUGAUUCAAAUUUAAUUUAAGUUAAAUAUAAGAUAUUUAAUUUAGCUAUUAAUUAAUUGAAAAAUUAAUUAAUAGUUUAGUUUUAUUUUAUUUAAUUAAAUUAAUCUAAAACUUUAUUUCAGGAGUGAUGCACUAAAACUUUUGUCUUUUUUCUAAUAUUCUUGCCAACUAAAUUUGUUGGCUAGUGCAUCAGCUCACCUAGCUUGUUAUGACCAUUGUCGCAUUGGCGGAACACUUCUCCUCGCGCGUAACGUUCUAUCACCAUGCUCUACUUUUUGUCUAAAAUUUUGCGAUAAGACAUGUAAAACACAAUAAAAUAAGGAUGAAGUUCUUUUGUGUUAUGCGAUACAUAAGUUAAUCAAUUUUUUUUUUUACUUUUUCCCAUAUUUUCUUUUGUUCUUAUCCGAUACGGUUUCAUUAGUUCACAUAAAAGGCCAUAAUAACUUGUAUUUCUACAAAUUAUCAAUUUUAUUUUUACAAUAGUCUCCGAUGUGGGUUCUUGUAAAAAUCAAUGUUUGUGAAUGAUUAAAUGAUUCUUAUAUUUAAAUACUAGUUACGAAUAUUCUUCAGUGAGUGGUACAAUGUUUUAUAAGUAUUGUUUGUAAGUGAUAAAUUUGAUUUAUAAAUGUUUUCUAUGUUUGAAUAUGAGUAUUCUUUUGUAAGUAAUCCUUUUACUGGACAAAUGUUAUGAAUGACAAUUUCGUUUUUCAACGUGAUUUAUAAACAUUUAUAUAUUCACGAUCUUCAUUUUGAAAAGGAUUGUUUUAUCAACAUGAUGAUGUAAGUAUUCUUCAUAACUCUAUGAUUAUGUUUAUGAAAUAUUUUGUAUAUUGUGAUAUUAUGUGUUAAGAGUAAGCUAUGAGCUAAUACUCGAGUGUUGUUAAUUGUGUGGUUUAUGUGUUGUGGUGUCGUUGAUCUAUCGCAAGACAUUGGUGAGGAUCCUAGGUAACUGGCUUGAUGUUGGUUGAGUGCAAAUCUUAGAUCUAGGCGAGAGGAGAAUCCCAGGUCGAGGCAAGUUGUGAUGUGUUCUUGAUGGUGGACGGUGGAAGUCUCAGGUAACUCGUGCGAUAUUGGUUGAGUGUGAAUCCCAGGUCUUUGCAAGAUGAGAACCCCAAGUCUAAGCAAGAUUGUGAUGAGACGUUGGUGGAGUGUGACUCGCAUGUCUAAGAAUGGUUGAAGGUGACGGGAUGCUGGUAGAAAUCUCAGGUAACUCGCGUGAUGCUGGUGAGCGCGAAUCCUAGGUCUAGGCAAGGGGAGAAUUCCAGUUCUCAUAGUUGAGCUUGUUACAAAAUAAUCUCAGUGUAUGGCAUAGUAGCAUUCGUUGUGGUUUGAUAUGAUGUGUGUUUGUGUGAUGCAUUUGACCUUAUUAUUUGUGAUUCUAUGUGUUUUCCCAAAAAAAAAUCUCAAAACCAUUACUCACUAAGUUUAUUUGACUUAUGUUUUAAGUUUUUUCCUCCCCAGGUUGUCAGUCGUUGAGGUCAUGCGAAGGCUAGUUCUGAGACAUUGUAGCUUAGUUAAGAAGGGGAGGCAGAGUUACUCUACAGUCUUACAUGACGUGCUAGCCAUGACAUCUCAUCAUGCGUUUAAGGAGUUGGUUAGUAAGAAUGCUGCUCCUUAUCACUCAAAACUCAGUUCAACAGUAAGGCAAGAGCAAAAGAGUCAAAGAAUUGAGGCAAGGAAAGGAAGCUCUCAAUAUUAUCUUAUAAAUUGAGGUUGUUGGGCGAACAAGGUAAAGAAGAGAAUGAUGACUUCACAUCUCUAAGUACCCCGAUCAAAGAAGCAAUUGAAGCGACAAAGAAAGGAAAGGAAGAUUUUGGAGAAUUUCCUUGAUAUGCAUUGAAGAUGACAAAAAGGAAAAGGACGAGAUCAGAGUCUUAUACACCUUGGCGCGAAAAACAACACCUUGGUGUGAAGAAGAAGGAUAUGAGAAGAUCAUACUUGGUUUUAUUUUAUGAAAAGCAAAGUUGUAAUUUGUAUCUUGUUUGAAUUCUGUAAGCGUUAAGAAUAAGGAGAAGAAGUUAAGUUAUUCCGCAGUGCUAUUGUAUUUUUCUUGAGUUGUUUUCCAUUGCAAAAGUGGUGAAGGUCUCUAAGGCUCAAUGAAAGAACUUUGCAAAGAGACAAGGAAAAGAGUUGUUUCCCUUAUUAGGCAUUUGACAUGUCAUCUCGCGAGAGCUAUGUGUUUAAUGUUUAGGCGGCACACACUCCAUUUGGUCACGUGGUGUGACAUUUUGGACGAGGCGUGACAAUACGAACAAGGCGUAAUGUAGAUUCAAUUAUAGGCUAAAGAGAAUGUUUUAUAUGAUUUAUGUCAAUUGAGAAUACUUUUUAUUGUGAUUUGCUAUACAAGUUUAAGAACCAUGUUCGUUCAUGAUCAAGUGUGCAUUUAGAAUUUAGAAAUUUAUGUUAUCACAAAAAUGUUAUGUGAAUUCAAGUUGGAAUCCACCUAUAUUUAGAAUCAUUUAGAAUACAGAAUUUAUGCAUAUUUCUGUUAGUUAUGAUUUAUUUAGACUUUAGAAUCUGCUGUGCAUAGAAUCACCACAAAAUAUACAUUUAUGCAUAUUUAAAAUCACACAAAUUUAGAAUCACAAGCAUCAUAAUACCUAUCUUUCUUGAAUUUAGCAAUUAGCAUCACAAAGAAAAGAAAAAAAGGAAGGAAGAAGUAAGAAAAUAAAACCGUCCCAACCCCAUUGGGUUGGGUCGAGCUCUCUGUUAGUAAAAUAAACUGUACAUUUCAAGUCGGGGAGGUUUUAAAGAAAAACCAACCCAACCCAACCCAAUUGCACCCUACUUAAUUAAUUCCACUAGUUUGUAAUUUACUCUCGAAACAAAUCCAAAUUAACUUUCUAUGUUCUUUUUGCAAGAGUUUCAAAGAAUGUACCUUAUAACGUCAUAUCGUGUGGGAAUUAAAUAAAUUCUCUAAAAACAUAUGGGCUGUAUAUAUAUAUGUCUUAACUUUUCCUAACCAUCUUUGAGUGGGGAAAUAUCUUCUAGCGACUGUUGGGGUUAUCUGAGAUCAAAUUUUAUGUUAAAUUGGGAGCUAGAAAAUGCUGUUAUCAACAUAUGGUCAAUCUAGAAUAUUUAAAAAAUGCGAGAUGGUUUAAUAAAGAUCAUUCAAAUUUUGCAUGUAUCGAAAUCUCAAGCAACUGUGUACGUAAUUUUGAUACUUAUAAUAAUCUUACAUCUCUUUCUCUGUCCAUGCUUUGCAAGCUCUCAUUAGUCUCUCCCAAACGUGAACUCCAUUGAAAAGUGGAUGAUGGAAGUUGAAUAUACUAACGCUUCUUGGUCUGUUGAGGGAGCGACUUGGUGGCUGCACUUUAGAGAACUUUGUGGACUUUGAAAGAAUACACUUUCAAAUACAAUCGAGUUACCGAGUUUAAUCCUAAUAACAUUUAGGCUUGCAUCAUAAACUUGGAAGGUAUCUAGGAGCAUUUCUCAAGAAAGGUAAAUAGAAGUGUCUCUGCUGUACAAUAUUCUAUUUUCGGUAAACAUGUUGUAAACAUUACAUCAAGAAAGAUGUGGCAGAAAAAAAAAACAUAAACAAACGCAAUUAUAGAACUUAAAUUUUUGUAUCAAUUAAAUUAGCUAAUACAAGAAUUAGCCUCCUUACAAGUUUCAUCAGUAGGCUUCUUGUCUUCCUUCACAGCGAAGAACACCAGAAACCCCAGCAAAGGAUAACUCAGCGAUGUGAGUGACCAAUUCACAACCAACUGAGACAUGAAGGAAACAUGGUGUGUGUCAAUUUGCCAUGCAACUGCAGCUCCUGCACUCUGCACUCCUUUAUAAAAUCCACUAUACCUGUGUUUCGUCUCCCAAUCAUUAUACAAAUAUAAUAUAAUCUCACUCAAAUAUUACACAUAACAUAUACAUCAAUGACCAUACCUGCUCAAAGUCUCUGAAUCAUCUGCCAAGGCUCCAAUAACCCAAUACACCAUACUCUGGAACAUGGCAUCCAACAGCCCAAAACAGAAGUACAAGAAGAAAGGCCCAACAAAAUCUGAACCUGAAUCCUUGAAAUCCAACUUGUCUAGCACGUUGUGGCGAGAGUAUCUAAGCUGGUUAGCCAGGCCACCUGCCCAUAUUCCAGUACCCAAUAGCGCCACCAAACUAAUUCCAAACAAACCUCUAGUCCUCCUACUCUUAAAACUGAAAUCCAAUAUGUAUCCAAUUCCAACCGACCCCACCAUCUGUGCUCCCCAGUAGAAAACAUUGUUGAACCCUCUUGUCCUCAAAUUAAACAACACCCCAUUCACAUUAUUGAAUUGGUAGGUAUAGAAAAAGUUGCUAGACCAAGCAGCAGGAACAAUCAACAACAUCUUCCAAUUAAGGAACAAUUUGAGAAUCUCUACAAACUCAACUGAUACGCUAGAGUACGUGAUAUUGGUGCAUCGUGAACCAUCAUCACGAACCACACGACUGGGGGGCAAAAUGGCAAGAGAGAUGAGAGCCCCAAUGGACAUGAAGCACAUGAAUCCAAUGUAGGUUCCAUCGUUGACGGAAGAAGCAGUGGUGCGAUGGUAGUUUAGUAUAAAGGGAAUAAGACCACCAACAACACCACCCAUGUUGAAAAUACUCCAAAAGAUGGAAAUGUAAGUGCCCUUUCGAUCAGGGGGGGGAUAGGAAGUCAUGAUGGCGCCUUCACCAGCCCAUAGGAAGCCAGCACCCACACCAAGAAUUGCUCCUGCAAUGAUAGCGAAGGUUUGGUCCUUGAAGUGAUUGUAAUAGAGGAAGGAGCCAGCGUAGAGAACGUAAGUGAUGCAGCCGGCGAAGAGGGUGAGACGAGGGCCAAGGAUGUUGUAUACGCCGCCGCCGAUGAUGCCGAAUAUUGCAAAAGUGGUGUAGAGGGCGGUGGAAGCGUUAUCAGCAACUGCUGUAUUCAUUUGGCCUCCACCUCCCAUACCACUAAGGGCAUUGAACAUACCAGGGCAGCAAAAGCAAACCAGUCCAAUUAAGAAAACCUGAACCAGGGGAGAGUUAAAUCUGAAUUGGGAUUUUGAUGAAACCCGAGGAGCGGAGGACUCUUCAUCUCCUUGGAAACCCAUCACCACCAAUGGAUCAAAGAAAGAUCGACAAAGUUUGGGUGUGAACCUGUAUUGAAUUGCGACGAUGGAUUUGUUGAAAAAAAUCCCUGAUUUUGAGCCAACUCUCCUCUGUUUGUUAUUCAGUUAGAUUUGAAGCUCAUUGGAUUCAGUUCUCACGAGCCGAGAUGAGGUUGGUUUAUCAAUAUAUAUUAAAGAUUACACCAUCGUUAGUCGAAGACCAUAACAAGAAUCUUGCGUUCCUGGCUUGCUCUGAUUUAGAUACUACUUUUACGCCCAGCAAUCAUUGCCUAAACAAUGUUUUGCCCAUGUGAUCAGACCUUCAAAGUUUGAAAAUAAAUGUUAGAAAAGUCGAAUUAAAUAACUUUCCAACAAACUCAAAAACUUAUUUUUUCCACCAAAUAUAUAUUUCUCCAAUAUAUUAUAUAUUUAAAUAUAAUUUUGUAGAUAUUCAUGACCUACUAUAACUUAUCAAUCUUCCUAUAAGUUUUGCUAGCUCUAACUUUAAAAAAAAAAAAAAAAAGUUCAAGUAAUUUAAAUUAACAUUCAUGUAAAUUAUAGUUUUUUAGAAUAAAAAACUCCUAACAAAUAAUGAUGAUAUAUCAUGAAACCACCUCUAAGUUAAAAAAAAAAAAAAAAAAAAAUUACUAUUAUAUUUUUUUACAAAUUUAGAUAUACAAUAAAGAGACUGUAAAAGUAUUUUAAAUUUAUACUCUACCUUUCAAAACGUUAGACAUAUUUUCACAUUAAUAUAAAAAAAAAAUUAACACCCAGGCUUAGUUAGAUAGAAAAUGGUAAUAUAGCAAAGGGCAAUGGUCACAAAAGUAAAAAUAAAAACAAAAAUCCUAAAAAAAGGUAUUUGAUAAUUAUUUUUGUGGGUGGAGAGAUAAAGAUCACAUAAGAUGGGUACAAGGUUGUACCCAUGCUUUUCUCUAUAGCAAAAGAGAAGUUCUGGUGAAGUAUUUUGGAACUCCAACUAAUGAAAAACCAAAUCAGUUAUGAAAUUUGCAGUUAUCUUUUAUACAAUAAAAUUUCAUAAAAAUCUCUAGUUCUCCUAAUUCACUGUUCUUUUUCUUUUAAUAUCGACAAACAACUUGCAAACCAACGAUAUAUUCUCAAAGAAAAGAUCUAGAAAGAUGUGAGUAUCUUUUUUGAGCACAGGACCUUUGAAAAAGCAAUAACGUACGAUGAGGUUGAAUGAAUAAAUCAUUUUUCAAAUGUAACGAAAGGCUUUAGAAAAGAGUAAGAACCUGUGUCAAAUAUACAUAUUUAUAUAUAUUGGCCUUUUACUUUAUCAAUCUAAAAUUUUGCUAUAUUUUAUUUUUAUCAAAUUUGUCUAUCUUUUACUCUUUACCUAUUUUUAAAGCACUACAAAACAAAUUUCAAGGCCGAUCAUUUCCAUGUUUUGUCUUGCUAUAAAAAGGGAAGAUUGGUAGUAGAAACUUGAAAUGGUCAUCACCAUUGCAUAGAACCACAAACUUAAACAGCGUAAGCAUGAUUAACGUUGCGUUUAAUUUUCCAGCAAUCUAUCUAAAAUAACAUAUCCUUAAACCUAGAUCAAACAAGAAAUUGAAGAAAAACUAAUUAAACAUAUGUGAAGAUGAAUUGAAGCCCAUAAACCUCGAUUCAGAAUUCGAAAGAGAGAGAGAGAGUAAGGUUACAGCCCAUAGAUUUGAAUCGAUCGAAAAUGAGAAAUGGCCUUUGAAUCGCAAGGUUUGUGAUCCAAAAAUCAGUAAAUAAAAAAUUGGAAGGAAAAGUAAGAACAGAAAAAUGCGUACCGUGGUGAUAGUGUGUUAUUUAGAGUUGGGGAAGAAGAGUUUGAAGCGUGGGUGAUGAAGGUAAUCACUCAAGGCUUGCUUGCUUGCUGGUGUGAUGAUUGGAAAAGAACGAAAAGGAAAUGGGAAAUUCAGUUGAAGAAAGAGAAUAGAAAGUAAAUGAUUUUAAACAAAAUAAGGAAUCUACUUAUAAAGUCUCUUUUCUUUCAUUAAACACGUGUCCCAUCAUCACUUUUCAUUUGUUUUUGUUUUUUCUUCAAAUGGUUUCAUUUCCACCGUGGCCAUUGUGAUUUUGAUUUAUGGUAGGGUCAGUGUUGUAAUCAAUGAUCAACAGACCAGACCACACGGUAUUAUAUAAUAAACACAAUAAAAAAUAUCAUAACGUUUCACUUAUGCUUUUAUAAUAUUCAUUUCAUUUGUAACAAUAAAGAAAUAUCGACAAUUUUCACAUAAUUUUGUGUAAUGCAAAUAUGUGAAUUUAAAAUUAUCAUUAAAAAAGAAAAACGAAAUAUUAAUACCUUUUGUGCGAAAUGUUGGUGAGAGAGUGGAAGUUUGAAUCACGACUUUGUUCAUUUUUUUAAAACUUUGGUUAGAUAACAAAUAAGAGCUAAAAAUUAAGUUAGAGUUUUAUCUUAGAUGAUUUUUUUUCUCUUUUUAAAAAAUAUCUUUCUUUUAGGAAAUUAUUGAAAUUAAGGAAGAAAUUUGAUAUUUGAAAAAGGAAAUUAUUGAUAUUUGAGAAAUUUGAAGAAAGAAAAUUAUUGAUGUUUGGAAUAAUAACUAUUUUCUGACAAUUUAUGAAGAAAUUUGAUAUUUGAGGAAAAAAAAAAUUAUUGAUAUUUAGAAUAAAAAUUAUUUCAUAAAAAUAAUUGUAGCAAGUGAACUCACAGCCAAAGAGUUGUGCUAGAAGAGCACAACCACUACAGCAGAAGCAGAAAUCAGGCAAAAUAAAGCUAAAUUCGAUAUAUAUUGUAAUCUAACACUUCAUGAUUAAUAUUAAAAUACAAAAUCUGAUAAUGUAAGGGGGGCACGUGCCCCCAUGACCCCUUAAUAGAUUCACCCUUGAUGAUAAUAAAGUGUUUUUGCAAAAAUAACAAAAAAAUUUAUGAUAAUAGGAGUCAUGUCAUUAUGUCAAUAUAUUUUCUAAAUUACAAAAGUAGAAAAUUUAAAAGUUGAUAACCUAUUAUUAUGGUUCGAUAGUCCUAUGAUUACCGUCUGAUAAUCUGAUAUCACUAAUUUUGUCAUAUUUACAAAAUGUAAAAAAUAUGUGUCAUGUGCUAUUUUUUUCUAAAUGUUUUUGUGAUAUAGUUUCCCUUACGAUAAUCUUGAUAGAUGGUGUUAUGAGUUAUAAUAGUAGUGUUAUGAUAUGGUUUUGUUUUUUAAAUAUAUAAUGUAGAUUCAAUACACAAAUUUCAUAAGUUUAUUUUAUUAAAUAAUCUUACUUAUGGUAUUCGCUCAAUAAAUUUAGCAUCCAUGUUUUUUUUUCAUAUUGCACAUCGAAUUAAAGAAGCUUCCCAAAUUAAACGUUCAUAUCAAUAAUUUAAGUUGUGAUCUUGUGUUUGCACUAAUUUGUUUUUUCGUUCAUAUAUAUUUGUCAUUAGAUGCAAUAUUUUUCUUAAAAUCAUUUUCUUUAAUUUUCUUAAUUACGACGUUCAUUCCAUAAAUUUGUUAUUAAAUCAUUAUUUUUCACCGUUUUUUUGCCUACACAUGUAAUGGAAAAAAGUAGGCUUUAUAAUUAAGUUUGAUAGAAAUUCUUUGUGCUCAAUCCUAGCUUACCUAGGAAACCUCUCGGUUCACUUACAUUUGGACAAGCGAGAGAAAAAGUUGUACUCAACGCAGAAUUAGAAGAAAUAUCAAUGCAUGGUAAGAAAAUGUACCUUAAGGAAAAGUUAGCAUUUUUUAUCAUAUAACAUUGUCCUCUCGUGUUAUAAGUCACAUAAAUAGACCCUUAAAUGAUAGUUCAACAAAAUUAUAACUAAGCGGAUGAGAGGCGCGAAACCAAUUCACGUAGUCAAUGUCGAAUGCAAUAUGCAAAGAGAAUGUAUAAAAAUAAUUCACAAGUAGUGUUGCCACGAGAUCACUCGUACAUGUGGGCUCCAUUAGACACAAGACAUUAUUAUUACUUUAUGGCACCUCCUAAGGGGACAUUAAAAGGUCACCUAGCGGAACCAGUAACGAGUCCCUUAUUGGGUAUAUUUUUAUAUACUCCUAGUAAUAUUCGUAUCUUCUAUCUCAUUUGCUUGCUAAAAAGUUGAGAGGCAAGGCGUCUUGCUUAAGAAAAUCUCGAGAUAGAAGUAAGAAUCUCAAACCUUGUUUGGCCAAGAGAAAAGCUAGAGAGAAAAUCCCAGUGCAUUUUAGGGCUAUGGGAGACAGAGAUCGAAAAACAGAAAAGGCAGAGAGCAAAUCUCAAUCCAUCUCAAGGCUAUGAUAGCCUGAGAUGAAAGACAUAAGGUUUUUAGGGAUGGAUCUCGGGUCAUCUCAAAGUCGUAUUCAGUUGAGACUGGAAGCAGAAGAAAGAAAUUCUACGAUUCUCAGGCAUGUCCAAUCGAGAAAAGUUAAGAUCUUGGUUGAUCUUGGACCAACCUCAAUCGAGAUCACUUAAAAAGAAAAUGCGUGAUAGAUCUCCAAAAAUUUCUAUCACGCGAGGUUAGCAUUUUUCGGACGCAAAUAGUAUUUUAAAGACCACAACCCUCAUUUCUCUUAUUUCUCACCAUCGUAGCUCAAGAGAGAAGAGUGGAGAGAAGUGUGGAGAUCGAGAGUUUGGUGUUCUUGGAAGUUUGGAAGCCACGACAACGAGAUUUAGGUCAAGCUUGGUUUGAAGUUCUUUGUCAAAAGGGCAUAUGAAAGGAAGGGUUUUGUCGAGUUUGAGCUGUGAAAUAAGAGUUAGAGCUUGAGGUUUAGAUUCAAAUAAGUUAAAGAUUCCUUUUUUUUGUUUAAGAAGAUUUAGAGCAACUUUGUAAGUUUUAUUUGGUUGUUGAACUAGACUUUAAAUUUGAUUAGGAGUUCGUUUGAGCUAGGGCAAGCUUGCUAGAAGUGGUUCUAAGUAAGCCAAGGUUAUUGAGACUUCAAAAGAGUCCAAGGUGAGUUGAAAAGAAUUUCUUUAAGAAGAAAGAAGGAAAAUGAAGAAGUGAAAGAGAAUCUAUCAUGGUUAAAACCAAGUUUUUAACUUGAAUUUUCUUGUUAUUUUCAGGACAGAAGAAAUAGGACAAAUUUAUAGUUCAAGAAUCUAGUUAAAAGUUGUUUGUGACUAAAAUGAAUGUAGAAUAAAUUCUAAGUUUGAUUUGAGAAUUUAUGUUUUAAAGCAUGUUUUGAGUUUAAGCAUUUAAAUAUGCUAGAUUUAUGAAAUUAUUUACAAAGCACGAGUUUCAAGUUUAGAAAUGUGUUAUGAGAAAGCAUGAUUGAGUUAAAGUUCUAAAACAUUCAAUUUGAGAAAUGUUUCUUAAACAUGAUAUUUAUAAGAAUGUGUUUGAAUGCUAUGUUUUCUCUAAAUGUUUGAGAAAGUUGAUUAUUAUAUUUAAAACAAAGCUAGAUUUCAGACUUGCUUAAUACAAGAGAUUUUCACCAGCAUGCUAACUUAAGUAAGUUAAAGUUUUAGUAUGAGGUUUCUAAAUAUGCUUAAGUCUAUACCAAGAUGUCUUGAUCUGAUAGCAACCCUACAGGUGGGAUUGUACUAUGCACAAAGAUCAUGUGAUGAGGGUAUCUAGUAGAUGCCUAAAGUUUCCAUCAUAUAGACUAGGUAAGAGAUGAAGACCUCUAUGAACGCCUAGAUUUUUUAUUUCAUGAUAGCUAUAGCGAGAUAGGGUGCUAUAGGCGUCUAAAGGUUCGUCUCUCAAGUAUUGAAUCAAGGGAUAAGACUUCCAUGCCUAGAGUUUCGUCUCAUAGAUACGAAGAGGUUAAGGUAUAGCAAUGAAGAAAGAAAAGAGAAAGUUAAAAGCUAAAUUUGAAAAGAAAAUUUGCUUUGCUAAGUUUAUGUAUCCUUUGUUCGAAGUUUUCAUUAUCAUGCUUUGUUUUAAAACUAGUCACUCACAGGGCUUUCUAGCUCAUCCUUUCAAUGUUUAAUUCUCUUACAGGUAGAGAUCGUGAUUUUGGUGCCUGUUAAAGCAUCUGCAUACUCUGCUAGAAGUUUAAUUAUAUUUUGUACAAUUCAUUCCAUGCAUGCGUGAUAAAUUGUAAUUAAGCUAAGAGAGGAAUUAGUUAUCGUUAUAUGUAAUAGAAUAGUAUGAUAGUUUGAUUUGAGUUUUGUAAUAGUGUUGUUUGGUUGGGACUUUGCUCAUCAGUUUGUCUAUAUAAGCCUAUUGAGCAGGUUGUCCACUGGUUGGGUAAAUCUGAGAAUGUUUUGCAAGAAUUUAAAUUAUUAUAUUCAAGAUAGACUAUUCUUUCUGCAGUUUAUGUAUAAGUUUAAUUGUUUAAAGAUAAAUAAAAGUUACAUGUUAAGCAGGGUUGACUGACAUUAUUAGAAGAAGAACGAGGUCGACUUCUCGUCACAUCUCGAGCCUAGUGAGGAAAUCCUCUGAGAUGGGGUGUGACACUCACCCUUUUCUAUGUUUAAUAUUCAGAAAAAUGUAAAGGAUUUGAAAAGCUUGCAAGCAAUAGAAAGAGCUCGUGACAUGACAUAUGGGGACCUAUUCUGCUUUUGCCUUUUCUUCAUUAGUUUUUCAGUAAUUUGAUUUUUAGAUAUUUUAUUCAAAUUUUUACCUUAUGUUUUUAUCUUUAUUUUCUUUAAAAUUGUUAGAACCCGUGGGUCAUGUUUUCACACUAUUUUUAAAUUUUAUCAAUUUUAUAUUUUUACCAACAUAUAUUUGAUAUUAUUUUAAUAAGAAUUUAGUUUUCCUCAUUCUAAGAAAGUGUCAAAUGUCAUUUAUCUUUUGGGUUGUUAAAGUUUAAGAAAUGAGUUUGAGAAAUCCAAAAUACUUUGCUAAGUUUAUCUAUUUCAAAUCGUGCAUGUUUUGUUUCUAAAAGUUGUAACUCACAGGGCUCUAUAGCUCACUCUUUCAAAAUGUUUUUUCCUUUUCAGUAGAGAUCGUGGUUCCGGUGCUUGACUACAUUUCGCCUACUUUGCUAAAAAUUUGAACUAUUAUUUUGUGUAUAACUCAUUUUCAUUCAUGUAUUUGGUCUCUAAUUAAGAUAGUGAAGAACUAAGAAAGUUGUGGUCUGUAAUAGGCUAGUACAUAACCAAGUGAGCUGGAAUUGUUUGUAGUAGUUUUGGUGUUGUCGUCUUUUCCAAAUUUGACAUCUUUAUGUCAAACUUGAUAAACUAGUUUGUCAAUGAGUUGAGACGGAUGUUGAAUGUCUUAGAAUAUACUGUGUUUUUAUUAAUUCCACAAGUUAUAUGUUUCUGUUUAAAGUUAGUUCAAAGAGCGGGUUAAGCAGGAUCAACAUGUGUCAUUAGAGGAAGAUGCAUGUCAGCUUCACACUAUCGUCUCGAACCUAGUGAGAAGUUGCUUCGGAAUGGGGUGUGACAUGCUGGUUGCGAGAAGGUUUGUGCUAAGUGGCCCAUCGUUGUGCUUAAGGCUUUUGGUACAAUUAGAGGUUUGUCUGUCCUUUUGGACUUUUUUGGGUCGAGGGCUUUCCCAUGAGUGCAGGUGGAAUCUAAGUGUGUGAAUCUUAUUAAUGUCAUUAAUUGUAAAUCUUUGGUAUUGACUGAUUGAACUUGGAAAGAUUGUCGGGGUGGAUUAUUUUGGUUGGUGCGCUUGCUCGACAAAUGAAAUCUCCCACCGUUUGGCAGGUGACAUGUUGAUGGAGGGGGAUUUGAUGGUUUUUUUAUUUUUUCCUUUUUUGUAGCUUUCUCUUCUUCUUCCUUUGAAGAAGUGAUUAAGUCCUCUUGUUGUAUUUCAAAUGUUUUCUCCUCCAUUUUUAGGUAGGAGGCAUGUGGUUUUGGCUAGUUUCUUGCAAAUAAAUUGUAGGUUAAAAAAAUACCCAUCUUUUAACCUUUUAAAAGAAAGAAAAAGACAACUUUUAACCUUCAAGUUUCAACCAUCUUUUGAUAAUAUGGGUAUAACAAUGAUCCUUUUUAUCAUUUUAAAUACUCCACAAUAAAAUAAACUAUUUUAGAUAAUAUAUUUUGGUUCAUAAUUUUAAAAUGUAAAUGAGCAUUUUAAAAAUGCUUUAGAAUAUAAUGAAAAUUUGAAGGUAUACGUAUUGCAAUAAUUUUUUAAGUACAAUGAUUGUAUAAAAAAACAAAUCCGUGACCUUAAAAGAAAAAAAAUAUAUAUAUACAUUACUGCUAAGUCGAGUUUGGUAGCAAUCAAACCUACACAACGAUCACUAAGCCAUAUUAUAAUGUGAUUAAAGAAAAGUUGUGCGAUGCAAUAUAAAAAAGGAGUAACAAUAUUGAAAGGAAUUUGAAUGAGUGCCUUGAAGCAAAAAUAAACCGGAAGUUUGUCUGAAGAAGCAAGCAAAGAAUUGUUUGCCAAUAAAUAAGUUCAGUCAAUUUCAAUCUUUCUGUAUCGAUCUUUCCCAUACCCAUCCACAAUCCCUUUCGUUCCAAAAUUCGAUCGCACUCGACCGGCCACCCGCAAAAUCAUGAAGGCAGGGACGAGCAACAAUCAGAAAGCCCUAGAUUCGAGAGACAUGGUCAACAGAGGCGGGGUUGAGCUAAUUAGGAAUUGCGAUCUUCCGCCGCCGCAGAAGGUAUUCAAGAGUGGGAUGGAGGAAAAAAUGGAGCUGUUGAAGGCUCUGAGACUGUCGCAAACGAGGGCAAGAGAGGCGGAGAGGAAGGCGGCAAAAUUGAUGGAGGAAAGGGAUUGUAUUAGUAGGGCUUUUGAAGACGAGGCCAGAAUGGUGUUCUGUUAUCGACAAUCCCUCAAAUUGCUGGAGCUCAGGGUUUUCAAGUUGCAGAAACAAGAAGAGGAAGAAGAGGAAGAAGAGGAAGAAGAAAGUGAUAAGAAUGGUGGAAAUGGAGGAAUGAAAUGGGUUUGGGCUUUGGCUAUUUGUUUGAGUGUUGUUGGAGUUGGCUUUCUUUUGGGCUAUACAUGUAAUCCUUCAUGAACCAUACAUUAUUACCUUUUUACCCCCUACUUCUUUUACCCAAUUUUACUCUUUUACUUUCUUAAAUAAGAGUAUAUUAAAAAUCGAACCAAAAACUACCACUAACAAAAGUAUUAGUAAACUUUUGUGAAAACAGUAAGAAUAAAAAUAUUUUAAUACAUAUUUCAUAAUAAUAAAAAAAAAUUAACCUCCCAAUGCUUCCACUUGACAACUCAACUUUGUACAUACUAACUACAUUUUUUUAAGGGUAUAUACGUCACAAAUAUGAAAAUAUUCCAAUCACAACUUUCAUCCUCAUAAUAGUAGUAGUAGUGUUUGUUCAUGUUUAAGGUAUGAAUUAAGAGAAUUUAAAGGAAAAAUAGAUCGAAACCAUGAAAAGUAAAAUUUCCUUCAACUAUUUGUAAUUGACUUCGUUAAAAGAUAGCUUAUAUUAGAGGUUAUAUGUUUCAACACAGAGAAAAUUAAUAAACUCCUAAAUUAAAUAACAUCAUAUAAUGGUUAAACUCUCCUCUCUUUUGCCACACAUACAUAUAAAUUACUACUUAUAUGCAUAGUUAUCACUAAUAUGGAACAAAAAGUAUAUAUUUUAUAUACAGUAAUAAAAGCAAGGUAUAAUAGAAAAUAAAGAGAAGUAUAGUAAAAUUUAGGAAUCGUACCUAACAGAAUAGAAGGAGCAAAUAUCAUUCAUGAUCCACACGGGACAGAUAGAUAUUAGUUUACACAUUGAAUGUAGAAUUUUCCUCCAAAAUUUAGCCGUCUUGGAAUGUAUGAUUUUGGAAAUAUUAGUUUGAUUUUGCACUUUCCAUUUAACAAAUGGUCACAUGUAUACUUUUAUACAGGAGAUUAAAAUGAAUGUUUUGCAAAUAUACACAGAAAGAGGAAUAAACAUAAAUUAUGGACGAACAAAAAUAACCCAACCAAUAUUAGAAAACUAUAUAAUAAUUUACACAUUUUAUAUUAGUUGGAAAGGCAGGGUAAAUGCCUGACUGUAACAUAUUUAAUUAAUGAUAUCUACAUAGAUGAUGAACUACCUAUUUGGGUUUGACUUAGUACUAUGUAAUAUUAUUUACCCCUAAUGAACCUAAUAAUAUAUAUUAUACAAAUACUAAUUCACAUUCACAAAAGUAAAAAGGCUCAAACGAUGGUCAUAUGAACGCUCCCCAAAUGGGCGUAGCAUUCAUCACUGCUACCAAAAUACUCCAAGCAAACCCAACAAAUAUGCCUACCACACCUGCAUUCAACGUGGUUGCACCCUUCAGUCUUCUCAAUAGUGUAACCGCACACAGGGCAGUUCUUCACAUUCUCUUUACCUUUCCGCCACUCUUUCAGUGACGAAUCUGGGUCUUCCUUAAACACCCGAUACUGUUCACAAGAUAGGAAAGGAUGAUACUCCAAAUGGCACCUAUUACAAGUUUCUGAGUAGCAUGCUCCACACACAAAUGGUUCCCCGGGCAUAUCGGGCCUGGCCACUCGGUAAACUGAGGGGCAGUCAGGAGACGGGCAAAACCUAUAGGCACCAUCACUAGAAGCAAUAAAAGCUCCCAAUGAAGCUCGGAACAAUUCCUCCAACUUCUCGCUUGACAACAGAGUUCUCAUAUCUGCAAGUACAAUAGGAGUCCCACAUUUCUGUUUAGCGCAACAUAUUGGGAAUCGUCCCUGAUUUUUUAUGGCGGAUUCAAACUGCUCCACAAGGCAUUGACGGCAAAAAUGGUGUCCACAGACUUCAAGCUCAAACCUAUCGUCUUCAAUGUCACAUAAGCAGAUUGGACAACAAUCUGCAUCAUCAGGCCUCUCGCCUGAACCACCACUUAUCGUUGCAAGCUCAAAAAUGACAGUUUCAACUUCCUGCUUCAAAUCCUUACUACCCUGGACAUAUAAGAUAUGACGCCGAGUAUUUAAUGUAAAUCCAGCCCCUGGAAACUUUUGUUUAAGGGCGUUGAGAUCUGGGCCAAACUUCUCAACCACUGCCUUCAAGAGGUUGGGAGGCCAAGAUUUGCCUCGAAGGUGAAUCUCGAGUUGUUUGCUUUCGUGAAUUAACUGGAGGGAUUGAAUCAACUUCCGCUCAGCUGCAGCCAUCUUCUCAGAAGCACCAAAAAUCCGCAGACUAAGCCUCUGCCUGUCAAAGAGAAUGUACACUCCAUUUUCCCGCUGUAGAAGAUUUAUUAAAUCAAAACCAUCUCUAGAGGUCAGGUGCUGCAAAACAGCUGGAGUCAGGCUAGCAUCGUCUAUAAUCUUCCCUCUCAGAAGCUCUUCCACUGGUCGUCUCAGCUCAGCAACUGUUUUUGUGGCAUUGGCAGAUAGCUUCACUCGGUAAGAACCAUUGACGUUUUGAGAAAGAGUGCAUUCUACACCUGGUUCACGUGAACAAUCAAGAUCAUCAGAAUCUGACUAAACCAAGCUAUCAUCAUAUUUAUGUAGUCUCCAACCUUCAAGAAGGAUUGCCACUGGCACAUACUUGUGAUAAAUGCAGAAAAUAAAAGCAGGGGUAGAAUUUACAAAUUUGCAACGUGUAAACCUCAUCUGUGUUCAAGAUAGACCAACAAAAUGAUAUGCCAACUUUGAUGUAGAUUACCAAAAACUUCUACGAGCAUCAAAUAUUAAAGGACCCCAUGUAAAUAUUUAAUAAAAUGCAAAAAAUACGGUGCUAGAAUAAGAUAUAACAGAAAAUUGACCCAACAUUUCAAAAGUUGUUAAGAAAUAAAGAAUAGCACAUGCAUUGAGAAAAGAGACGGAAAAAUACAUGAUCAAACAUUGAAAAAAGAUGAAGAUCCAAUAAAGAAAAUACCAUCUAUCCUCCUGAAGCUUUCAAGCAAGGAAUCCAGUUGAUGUUUUAUCACUCUAUAUAUGUCAAUGGUGCAGGAUAAAGUGCUAUGAAAUAGCUGCUGGCACUUUAUUUUCUGCCAUGGAAGACAUACAGGCAGCGCUUUCCCUUCCAAGAACUCCAAAGCUUUUGCUGCCUCCAAGUGCAAUCUUCCAUCAAAAGUUAUCACAGCUUUCAUGUAAAAAUCCUUUGGUUGAGGUGGAAAAACUUGAACACGACAACAUUUGACAUGAGGGUUCAAUUUAGGCAUAAAAGGAGAAAUUUCUUUCAGCAGGGACUCUUCACAAGAAUUAACUGGAGGGUUGUCAACAGCAUUUUCCCGAACCAGAAAAAGAUCCAAAAUUUUCCUAUCUGUUGUAGUUCUCAGAACAUUUAAAAUAUCAGCUUCAGAAAGCUCUUUGUCGAUUCCACUAAUAGUAACACAGUCAUUGUACUUUAUGCUAGGUUCACAACGUAAGAACCUACCUCCAAUCAGUAGGCUAGAGAAAUCAUUAAGAACGAAACCCACAUCAUUAAUGUUACAUUUAACAACAGCAAAUCCUUUGCUCAACCUACGAGGCCAGAAUACUUUAGCUUUUACAGGAGGGAAAGUGAACAUCUUAUUAUCACAUCCAGCAGUCAACCGUGAAGGAAUUAUCUUCAUCAAGGAUCCACAAAAGGAAUCACAAUCAAUCUUGGAAGCUUUUUCAGCUGCAUCGGGAGUAAGAAAUGUUAUUCUAUAUCCUCUUUCUUUGUUAUCAACAUCAUGUCCAGAAUUUGGAACUUUUUGAAUACCACAAAUUGUACCAGAUACAAAAUUUUCAAGAGACGUAAAAAACUCCUUAUCAUCAAUGCUGUCCACAUUCAAACAUAAUGCAUAAACUGUCAAAUAUCUCUUCUCAAGCUCAAGAUGUCUUAUUUUAGCACCAGCACCCAACAAAGCAACUGGAGUUGAGCCACCAUUUCCAUGAUACAAGCAUUUCUCCAUGCAUUCAUUCAACAAAUACUUCCUUUCAUACUCCAAAACAUCAUUUACAAAAUGACACACCUCAUCCAUGUUCUCUGUUCUCGAAAACAACAUAACCUCAUUCUGAUUGAUAUUCACUUCAAUGCCUAUGCAGUUAUCACUGAAAACUUUUCGAACAUGUGCAGUAAGAGAAAGAAGAUUACUGUUGCUUUUCCCACAAACUCUUUUAAGUACAGUUUUGCCAAAACCACUAAGAACUCGUCCUUCAAGCCUAUGUUUCUCCAUAUUAGAUAUGUUAAACAAAGGAGGAGGGGAAAGGGUCAAUAAAUCAUCUGCGUCAAAAGCAGUUACACAGACCAAAUAUUCAUUGAAUAUUGACAAAAUUUCACCGAACACCACCCAUUUGGGCCUUUCACUAAAUAUUAGCAAAGAACAUGACGGAUGUAGCUGAACAUGCUGUCCAGUCAUUGCCACUUCAUAACCCAGUCGAUCAUAACCAGUGAACAUGGCCACAUUCUCAGCAAGAGAACCAAGUAUGCAUUUCUUGAUAUUUCUGUCAUGAUCUGAAGGCUUUAGCGGACUCCAAAGCCAAUAACUGGGAAUAAUAAUGUGAAGUUCUUGUUUGAGACAACGUUCCAAUUCCAAGAUAGCAUCUUGGCAUCUUCUCAUAGUUUUGGCAUUAAUGCUGUUCUCCCAACACCAUCUGUUUUUCCUCUCCUUAGGCAAGGCUUCGUAUUGUUUAUAAACCGAGAGCAGCGUGAAAAGGUCACCAUCAGGGUGGCAAAAUUGAACUUUCUGGCAAUCAGAUUUUAAUUUAUCUUCAACUCUACCAACUCGGCAAAAUAUACUACUAGCAUUUGUCAUUAAAACAGAAAGUACAACACCCUCUCUACGAACACGACAAUCAAAGCAACUAAGAAUCAACUUGCCAAGUCGUGGCUCAAUGCCCAACUUUACUAAAUUACGACCUUCAUUUGUUAAUUCGUAAACCUUAUUAUUCAGUGUAAUAGCACCCAACUGGACGAGAUUUCUGAUGGCCAUGUCAACAGCUUCAGCACUGGGAGCAUCCACAAAGUCAAAAUCAUCCACAUUCUUUACACCCAAGGCAAGAAUUCUUAAUAUUGCAAUACCCAGAUGAACCUUACGAAUCUCAGGUUCAUGAUUUGGAGACAUUAGCUCAAACUCCGACUCUGUGUACAGUCUAUAACACCUUCCAGGUUCUGUUCUACCAGCACGACCAGCUCUUUGAUUUGCAGAACUCUGGCUGGUUCUGCAGACCUUAAGAAUAUUCAUACCACUUCCAGGUUCAAAUUUGCUAUCUUUGACCCAACCAGGAUCUAUAACAUACUUGACACCAGGAAUCGUCAAUGAUGUCUCUGCAAGAUUUGUGGCAAAAAUAACCUUUCUCUUUCCAGGAUGGUCCUGGAACACACGAAAUUGCUCAUCAAAGGACAGCUUACCGUGAAAUGCCAGGGGAACUGUACCAGGAGCAUGAAAAUUUUCACAUGCCCAUUCUACUUCCAUCUGAGAAGUCAAAAAUGCAAGAAUAGCCCCUUCUUUUUCUUGCCAGUGAAUCUCAUAGGCCAUUCGUACAACAUCAUUAACAUAUGAAGGGACAAUGCAAGAACCAGAAAUGCCUUCAUUGGAAGAAGGAACAUAUUUAAUAUCAACAGGAAAGCUCCUUCCCGGAACACGAAAGAUGCCACACCUAAAAAAGUACUUUGAUAGUUGGUCUGCAUUGGCUGUUGCAGACAUAAUAAUAAGAUGCAAGUCAAUUCUCACCAUGAGUAAACUCUUGAGUAACGCCAAAAGGAGAUCAGUACUCAAGCUUCUUUCGUGAGCCUCAUCAAUUAUAAUGUAAGAAACACCAGAAAGCUUCUUAUCAUUCAUGUAGUGCUGCAGUAAACAGUGGUCCGUCAUGUAUAUUAUCUUAGAUUUGAAUUGUUGAGCAGAUGAAAAGGAUGGAUAACAGCUCAUAUAAUCAUCAUCAUUAUAACACCCACGGCUUUCUUCGCUCACCCGAUGAGCAAGCGAGACAGCAGAUAUCUUGCGAGGCUGUGUACACACAAUUGACUUAGAACCCGAAAGUCCUGAAUCAGCCAGAAAUUGAACCAACUGUGUGCUCUUUCCUGAACCAGUCUCUCCAAUCAAUACCAUUACCUACAUAAAAAAUUAUACACAACUAAGUUAUUAAAGUCGUGAAUAGAUUAAAUAAGACUUAGAAGUUAAUUGAAAAGCAAACUUAUAUGAAAUGUGAAUGAAAGAACAAUUAGACAAACUUCAUCACUCCGAAUUCAUGUAGAAAACAAAUUUGAAAAGAUUAUUGUAAUCCAGGAAGUUCCAAACAUUUGCCUGCCAGUGCCAACCCCUUGUUUAUGAAAGUUGGACAACGUAAGAACAUUUCAAAGAGUUCAUAACAUCAAGAGACAAGUUCAUUAGCUGACUGGAAAAAUUAAAUCAAUAUACUGGAAAUGCAUCGAGAGAAAGUGCAUCUCCAGUGGAGGAUGAGCUGUGUCGUUUCUUAAAUUAUUUCAUGUAGAGAAUAAAACUAUUUUUCCAAACUGUUUGUCUACAUUGAUGCAAAAGGCUUGUUAUUGUGACUUUUGCACGAUUAACAUAUUUUUUUAAAGAACCUAUGUAUUAAUCACAAUCCCAAAGGUGGCAUCUUUUCUUUCAGAAAUAACGUUUGCAUAUGCGUGUGCAAUGUUAAACAGGCUUGAUAAACUAUAGGUUUCUACCUCCAACAACUAACCACGAUCAAACAAGUAGAUAGAAUGAAAAUUUCAAGGCGAAAAUAAAGUCGAGAGCUGAAGAAGAAAGAGGGACCUGUUGAUACUGAAUUUGUCGAAGGAUUUCCUGGCGGCAAGAAUACAUGGGCAAACCAUCCUCAAGUCUGCGGCAUUCUCUCAAAAUCAAGCUAUGAAUCCGGUUCCAGUUAAUUGUCCCAUCAAAUGUAAAAAUCCCCAUGCCAUGGCUAUCUGACGUUUCCAGUUUCUUUCCUUCCACAUGAUCCAGAAUGUAACGCAUGGCAGAGUUAAAUUCUUCCAUCUUCCUCACAAUUGAUUCCUUCUCAACAAGAAGCCCCUUCUUCUUUUCAUUGAGUUUAAAAGCAGCGUCUAUACGAAGAGGCCUCCGAAGUGUAUCAGAAAUCCGAUUAAUCUGGACCAUAACAAGAUCGUAUUUGUUUUGCCAAUGUCGGACCUUGUCGCCAUCCAUGAGAAGCUUGAUACGUUCAGCAAAGAGGUUCUGAAGACGUUCGUGGAGUUCGUCAACAUCAGAGGGCAAAUUGAUCCUAGGUUUGAGAAUAGGAGUGAAAUCAUGAAAGCCAGUGAGGCGCAAUUCCCAGAGGGCAACCAUAUACUCGAGCGCAGAAACCCACUGCUUGAAAAACAAAAAGGCAGCAACAGAACCAACCUGAGGGAUAAUAUAAUUAUCCGGCUUCGAGAUACAUUUAGCGAUUAAAAGCUCAACAGAACACUUGGAAAGGGUGCGAUGCUCCAAGACAAGGUCAAUAGCGAAAUUGGCGCGGUUUGGGCAAUUUUGUUGGGCGGAAAACUUAGAAGGAAAGUCAGAGGCAUUGGGAGAACGCGGCAGGUAAUGUAAGUUGGAGGGUCGAAUGGUUCGGAAGGAAGAAUCCGGUGGGCGGGAGGCGGUGGAAGAAGAAGAAGACUUCAUGGUGGCAUGGAAGAGAGAGAAACCCUAAAAAGCAGAGAGAGGGAGAGAGGGUUUGAGAGAAGAGGAUAGAAAAGAAGAACAAAAGGAGAAGAACCUGAUGAGAGUGGUUUCGUUGGAGGAUUGAUUAUGGCUUCUCUUUGUGUUGUUGGUGUUGUUGGUCUCCAAGACUUGGAAGUCUUUCGAGUCUUCUCUUGACAGUGUAUCACUUUCUGGUGGGAACAAGUACGAGAAGACGAAGGGAAUUAAUAUUUUGGGACUUUUUGAAUUCUGAUUUCUUUUCCUCUUAUCUUUUUACUUGUUUUUUCCCACACUGUUGGCUUUCAGAUAACUUCUAGUAAUGGAAAAUUCUUUGGUGUUUCUUACCCAAUGACUGCUUUACCAUUUGAUGGUCAGGAUUUUUUUUACUUUUUAACUUUUAAGUAUUUGAUGAGUUAGAUUAUAACUCAACUAUUUGGGUAUUUGUAGCAAAAUUUUGGAUUCUAUCAGUAUAGCAUAUCAAUGACUAUAAGUGAUAGAAUUUGGUAUAGGUUGUAAAUAGAAUUUUCUAUUUUCUUUUUGCAAAGAGCAAAAGCAUUAAUGUUUUUUCUUUUUGAUUAAUUUAUUUAAAAAAAAAAAUUUCUUUAGAUAUUUAUAACUCUUUUUCCUUCUGACAUAGAAAAGGGGUUAGAGAGAAUCAUCAUAUUCUAUAAAUUUAAAAAAUAUUUUCAAAUCAAUUAGUUAAUAUUUAAUUAAAUAAUAUUUUAUUAAUAUUUUAUUUAAAUCUUAUUUAGUGAAUAUCUCUCAAAUAUCUUAUAGUUUUUUAUUAAUUUAAUUAUAUCAAAUUAAAUUAAAUUAAAUUAAACUAAACUAUUAAUUAAUUUUCCAAUUAAUUAAUAACUAAAUUAAAUAUCUUAUAUUUAACUUAAACUAAAUUUGAAUCAUAUUCAAAUAUAAUUUUCUCUCAAAACCAAUAAAUUUAAUAUGAAUCUAAUUCAUAUUAAAUUAGUAUUUGAACUCAUUCAAAUAUUUUAUCUCUAAUAAAUUAAUUUUGAAUCAUAUACAAAAUUAAAUCUAUAUAAUAAAAUUUGAUAAACUUUAUAUUUAUAAUGUAUCAUUAUACAUUGUACUAAUUCCUAAAGUAAAUUUAAAUAUUUCAAAUAUAACUCAUAUAAAUAAAUCGCAUUACCUUUUAUGAGCUAGGAAAAUGACCUAAUGGACCUACAGAUCAGAUGCUACAACGAUACAAGAUUAAUUGGUUAAACUCAUAAUCCACAUUAAUCAAUAUUCGUUAACUGUGUGCACACUCCACUAAAUACUCGCAACUGAAUUCUUCUUACUGUAGAUAUAUUUAUAUGUCCAUGAAUAUAGACUAAUAACAGUAAGUUAGUCUUUCACGAGUGUUCGUAACACCAUUUGGAUCAAAUUAUCGUUUUACUCCUAGGUUACCUUUAAUCCUUAAAUACUAGUGCUCCUCUAAUGAACAACUUGUUUAUGAUCCUACCAAUAAACAGAAACCCCUUUCGUGCCAUAGAGAGGGUAGGGUCAUUUGUUCAAGUCCUAGAGACACUAUUUAAAGGAACAUUCAUCUACUUACCCUAAAAUAGGGAAGGAAUGAAUUCCAUAUUGUGUAAUUGUGUUCCCAACUCCUCACUUGAGCUUGUUCCCAAAAUGAUAAGCUUAUUAAGUCGACGAUCUGACCACUCUCAUCCAUACAAAUCAAACGACAAUCCCUUGCUAAUAGGAGUUCAUAACACACUUAGGAUUAAAACUAAGUUACCUAGGUCAUCCUAAUAAAAUAGAAAUCUAACUAGUUAAAUGAGUUACAUAUAGUGGUUACUAUUUCACGGUUCGGUCCUAUAUAAUGAUACCUUCACUCGCAUGUCAACUACUCGAACACAUUGGAUAAUUGCGUUUGUAUCAAAUACAAAGUGAGUUGUAUUCAUAGUGUUACCAUGAUAAGAUAUCAAACCUUAUCUCUAUACUAUAGACUCUUUAAGCUGAUCUCAACAUUGAUCCUUGUAUAUCUCUACAUACUAUUCAAGACUCAUUAAACAACUCAGGAGGUUAGUUUAUUGGAUUUGGUCAUUAAGACAAAACUAAUAAUAUAACUAAUAACAAUUAUUGCAAAAAAAAAAAAAAAAACACUUUAUAACAACGGUUAAUGAACUAUAUUCACCAUGUAUGAGUUUUAGAACAUAAAUUUCAACCGUUAAAAUAUAGAAUUUAUGAAAGAAGGAGCAAAGGAGUUUUAUUACAUUUAUAUAAAUUAACAUUUAAACAAUCUAUUAGAAUAUUUAUCACAUUUUUACCGUAUUUUUUAACUAUUUUGAGCAAUCCAUUUGAAAUACUUUUCCUUAAAAUAUGUAGUGAUUAAGAAAAUAAAUCCAUUCUCUUGAAAAAAAAUACCGUGAAUUUAAAAAUUAUAUAAAGGCAUAAAUCUUAAAAUAUGUAUUUAAAACAAAUGAAAAGAGAUAAAAAAAGUACAAAAGCAAGAAAAAUAGUAAAAUUAUUAUAAAUCAAACUUGUGCAUUUACGAAAUAAAAAUAAAAAACUGAAAAAUAGAAUUUCUCCAUCUCCUUUUUCAAAAUUUAUUUAUUUUUCGCUCUCUCUCAUCUUUACAAUAAAUACAAUAUAAUUUUUUCUUAUUCUUUUUUCAAUACACAUCGGGUCCUUAUUAUCUUUUCAAUACAUCUCUCCUCUUUAGCCACAUCUUUAUCGUAUACAAUAUCAGUUAUUUACUAAGUAGUGUGUCCUUUUCUGUUUUCAAUACACUAUCGUUAGAUUUGGUACAAGAUUGUAUACCGAGAUCGUUUAGAUUUAAUACAAUAUUCAAAACUCCAUGGAAACUUUAGCCAUUUCUAAAAUCUGAAAAUAAGAUUUUUAUGGGGAAUGAACAAGGGUAUUUUGAGUAUUAAACUUGUCAUGUUUUGAACCUAGAAAUAUUUUUAUAGUGAGAAGUACGCGAUGAGAGUAAACCCUAAAUAACCAAUAAAACUAGAUCACAUUUUGAGAAGUUAAAAAAUGCAAGGAGGUAGGUGAGUCUUGAAGGAGGAAUUGUGCUUGGGACAAGUAGUGAUACAAAGUGAUGCUUGAGGAUAAACAUUAUUCUAAAUUUGGGGGUGCGAUAUUUUGUAGAAAUACAAGUGGUUAUAGCCUUUUAAAUAUAAUAAUGGGACCAAAAUGCAUAGUAAAUGUAUCAAAACGCAUACACUAGUACAAAAGUGGUCUACGACGACAGUUAUUUACUGUCGUGAACGGAUUUCGCGACAAUUAUUUUCAGUCAUAGAAGCGGGAGUCAUGGAAAGGCCUUCGACGACAGUUUUUGAAAACUGUCGCAAUAUGUUAUUUUAUGACAUGAAAUAAAUGUCGUUAAUCAACAUUCAACGACAUUCAAUAACUGUCAUAAUCUAUUUUAUGACAUUCAAUAACUAUCAUCAUUUCUUUAUUAACGACAGUUAAAUAAUUGUCACGAAUUCUAUUAUUGUGACAUGUAUUAAUUGUCAUGAAUAUGUUUUUCGCGACAGUUUUUUUUUGUAAAAAUGUCAUUGUUUAGUUAUUGACGACAUUUUUUUCCAGUCAACGAUUGUGCAAUCGUGACAGUUUUUCGAUAACAUUAAAUGUCAUUGUUUUGCCAUUGACGACAUUUUUUUCCAGUCAAAUAUAAUGCAAUCGUGACAGUUUUUUUUUUAAAAAAAAUUGUCAUUGUUUAUCUUAUGACGACAUGUUAUUCCUGUCACAUAUAGAGCAAUCGUGACAAUUUAUUUUGUUAAAUAACUGUCAUCGUUCUCCAAUUUACAACAACUAUUAACUAUCACAUUUCUCAAUUUCCUAUAGUUUUAUCAUGUUCUCCAUGCAGCUCCACCAUUACACGAACCAUUAGAAUGACAAUAAUGUAGCUGAGAAUGACAAAUUUGAAAUUAUACAAGUUUCACACCAAUGUACAAGAAAAUAGCCAACACUUUAAUAUAUAUACACUAUAAUACGAUUUAUAAUAUUUGUACAUCUUAAUACAAGUUUCAGUAAUCCACAUGUACGAAAUACUAACCCUUAAUCAAAAAAUAUCUUAAAUAGCAUUCGAAUAUAUUUGACUGGACCAACCGAGAAUGUUCGUUUCUGGAAAUGAUAUUUGAAACAAAACUCAUGAACUUGUCGACUCCAGUUGAACCUACAAAGAAUCCAUAACACAUACGUACAGUCAAUGAAUAACUAAAUCAACGUCUCAACAAAAUACAGAACACAAACAAGAACUUCAACACUUGAUUCCAUGAAAUGAAAAGAGAAGACCAUGAGGACUAUAUUAGGCAAACACAGCAAACAAAAACAUACUGCUACUCUUUCUCUCUAGAAUACACAUACCAAAAACAUACCCAGCUCACUCUCCCAUUCUCUAUUCAUUUUACUACCCCACUCAUGGUGGUCCCUCUUCAAAUCUGAUAAUGAAAAUGAAGUUCCUAAGAAGAGGAGAAAGAGAUCAAGGAGAAGAAGAACGUCCAACCAAAUGGCCACUGCAAAUUGAACAACUUCUUGGGUUGUUCCUAGUCCUUAGAACAAAACAGCCUACGACAAUACAUGUACGACAAUUUGUAAUCCUUAGAGUUAAACAGUUUGUAUUAUGCAAUCAUCGCCAAUAAAGAUGAACUAUGAAUAUCUUCCCCACAUAUCAUCAGCUGUAGUCAGAAUUUACAAUCAAUUGACUAAAUAGCUCUAAAAUAGAAUAGUAUUACAAAGUAAGCAAAUAAAAUAACAUACCAAAUGAACAUGAGACUAUAAAUGUUACCUUAUAGGAAAAUUUUCAUAGCAUUGGAGUGUCGAUUUCUUGUCUUUAGAUACUCCAUAAAGAGUAAGCACAAUGGCUAAAUUCUCAAUUGGAGAUACCAAAACUAAAGUCUAUCCCCUUAAGGUAAAGUCAUUCUCAUUAGUAGACAUAACCAAAUACAAUCAACCAACUUCAGAAGUAACCAUUUGAUUUCUUGUCAAUAAACUAAGGUUUUCAACUAUUAGGAAAUCAGAUACUUAGAUUUAAAAUAAUUUACAUACAUACCAAAACUAAUGGACGUCCACUUCUAAUAUGAACCUUUAUUUAUCCUUGAACACUUCUGUGAGGAGCAACAGUUACUGUGUAAGAAUAAGAUAGCUUAGUCCAUGAGAGAAAAACCGGAGUUAAAUUUCUCUUCUAACUUUCAAGCAUCUAAGGAAAAAUUUAGCUAACUUGCAUUCAUCUCCAUAGAGCACUAUGAUAUAAGAUAAUUCUAUUGACACAUAAUUUAAUGAGUCAUCUCAUGAGGAUAAAGAACAUUAACAUAAAAGGAAAAAAUAAAAAGUAAAUCAAUUGUUAAAGUAAUACAUACUUCGAAAGAGUGGUUGAUCAGAUGAGCAAUGCUUCCAGCCCUUGUAGCAUCAAUUAUUCGUUCAUCAUCAAUUCCAAACAUGUAAGUGCCAGCACCGUAAAAUAACUGGAACACAUUAACUUUUCUCGGUCCAAUUCCAUUACAGUGGAAGAGGAAAAUCCAAAAUCUACUAGAGGAUGCACAGAGGAAUGCUUCUAAAUUUACCAAAUUCAGUAAACUCACAAUUCACUUAUGUCCAGAGAACCAUUUUAUUUAAGCAACCGAACGUUUAUUGAAAAAAUAAAAGGACCAAGGGCAAACAAAACUCUAUUCAUAACAGAAAUACCAAAACCAAACGCGAAAGUACUAUAACAACCUUGUAAACUCAGGUAUAAUGAUGUGUAAUAUAUGAAUGGCAUUCUUUCAAAGGAAUAAAAAAGCCCAUAUGAAUAUAUCUUGGAUGAAAUCAUUUUUCAAGAUGCAGUCUUUUGACGUCCAUUAAAGAGAUACUUACCUUGGAGAAUAUAUCACGGUUGCGCAAGUUGGAUGUAGAGAAUGAAAGAUGCCAUUAGAAGAGGAGAAAAAAUAGGAAGAAGAAACGAAUUAGAUGGCUAUAAGUUACAUGAAGUUAAGAAUAAGCAACGAAGGAGGAAGCAACCAUGGCUACAUCUACAACAAAUCUAAGAUGUAUACUCCAGAAGAUAAUACAACCCCAUUGGAAACAGCAACAUAGAAUAGAGAGGGUUGCCGAAAACAAAAUUGGAAGAGGGCGACGGUGGCUGCUGAAAAUCCGUCACCUGGAGGUGGGCGCUACACACUGGCAUUCAAUGACUAAAGAAAACAGAACGAUGGGGCCUCACCGAUGUUCGGUGCCAGAAGAAAAUGAAACAAUGGGGCAGAAAGCGACAAAGAAACGCGGGUGGCCAUUCACCGGCGUCCGAUGCGAGAAGAACGUGGGAGGGAGCUUGUGGUGUUCUAUGGAGAAGAAAAGAAGAUUGAGGGUGGGGGUUUGUUCUGCCGAAAAAAGGGGGGGAGGGAGGGGAAGGGUUUGUGAGCGAGGGAAAAUGUGGGGAAAGGGAAGAAGAUAAAAGGUGAAAAUUUUAAAAUUUUUAAUAAGUUUCUUUUAAUAAAAUAAGUUUUAAUAGAAGAGGCGCGGCGGUUGCGGCUGGGGAGAAGGGGAAGGACGCACGGGGAGGAAGAAGGAAAUAGGGAAAAGAAAGAAAAAGGAAAAAGAAAAGAAAAGGAAAAAAAAAAAAAUUUAACCCUAACAUUCUAUGACAUUUAAUAACUGUCGCGAAAAGUGUUUUCCGAAAAAUUCCGUCUUUUCCCGCCAAAAACGCGAAAUUUUCUAUUUCGUGACAGUUUUUUUUUCUUCCAUUCAUUUUUUGAGAUAUAUAACUAUCAUUGUUGGGUUGUUUUCUUCUAGUGAUAGCUUCUGUUGUAAAUUCAUAAGUAUUUGGAAAUACAUUCUACAUAAGUCUCCAUGUUGUUUUAACUUGUUUUCAGUGUCUUAACGCAUGAAUAGAAACAAAAGAAAAAUCUAGUGAAUCAGAGAGAAACUCGCAUAAAGGCUACGCGAGAAGAACCCGUUUGAAAAGUACAAUCUCUAGAUGAGGAUCUACGUCAUCACCCGAUAAAGGUUCAUUAGAAGACAAGAGUGGUAGUUGGAGUUGAUGUGACUUGACAAAGGUUGCAUUCAACGCUGACAUCUUCAGAAGAAUAGAUGUUUCCUGCCGAAAGUUGCCUAUAAAUUAAAAUGACCCCUUCCCUACCAAGACAAAGAAGAGCUUAAAUGAGUCAAACUCUAGAGAGCGGCAGAAAGGAGCCUUUCCUCCGUUUGUAAAAGUUUAUCUUCUUUUUUCUCCGGUCAGUCUUUAAGUGAAAGCUUAGAGUCUGAGUAAAGAAGAUUUCAUCACCUAUUUCCCCUAACUUGUAAUGUUAAUUUCUUUACUUUCCAUUUGUAUACUUCUUUGCAAUGUAUAUGUUCAUAUUGUGUAGUGGUCUAAGGCUUAUAUUCUUGAAUAUAUUGCAUGUUUAUACCUUUUCAAUCCAUCAUGUUUGUCACACCCCGCCCCGUAGACGUACUAGCUUGUCUUGUGAGACGUGGCGUGACUUGAGUAUCUUGACAUGUUAAACGCUAAAACACUCAGUCUUGAGGUCCAUACACUUUGCUUAAUCGUCUGACUUCUUUUUGUAACUUAAACUAUAGUCAUACUUUAGGCGAUAAAACAACUUAACACAAGAGAAGUAAACCAAUCUAAAAUUUUUAUUAACUUUUAAAAAACAAUGUGUUCUACAACACUUAAUACAAAUUACAAAAGUACAACUCUUAAGCUUAGAAAGUAAAAUGCAUGGCAGCUUUUCUUGCCUAGCAAACCCUUCACUUCUUCUCUACUUGGCCUUAACGCCUGAUUUCUUGAAAAUAGAAUUUAAAAACGUAAGUAUAUAAGACUUAGUGAGGUUUUAAGAAAACCUUUUUGCGAAAUACCUUUUGUAAACAUCAUUUCACCAAAUAUAUCAAAUCACAUAAAUUCAUCUUUUCAUAUAACAUUUCGUACAAAUGCUUCAUCUCGCAUAACCACACAUUAGUUACCAAACAUUCCUUUCACCAAGGAUCCCGAAUCAUUCUCCACGCUAAGGGUAUAAAAAGAGGAUAAGAAAUUGUAAGAAUCAUGGAAUGUAAGAAUUGUUAAACUAAGCGGCGAGAGUCUAUAAAAAGGGGAUAAGAAAAUGGCAUGGUAAUGCGAUCUAACUUGUAACAGAGAAAUGAAGGCAAGAAUGUCUACAUAUUACCAUGCAGAUAGGUGAUGAGAUGACCUUGAUGCAAUAUAACCCACUAACCAUACUUCUGAUUAAGGCAUGCUUCUCUCGAAGUCAUUAUAUGCUACACAUGGUUACUUUCAGAGAUCCAUAUGUCUAAAUACGAAUUGGUGAGUUAUAUCUAGAGGGAACUACUUAUGAACCACAUAAUAUUUCAUGUUUAAGGAUUGCUACCUCUUGGUACCCACUGUCCACACUUGUUCUCCUAUUGGGAUACAAAUUUUGGAAAUAAUCUUGCGAGGGGAGAUGAAACUCCUCCUUGCAAGCGUUAAUUAGGUUCUAGCUACUUUUCCUUUUGGGUAGUUGUCAACUAAAACUGGCCAAGCGAUGCAAAAAGCUCAACUAAGGCGAUAAGACUUAUAAGCAACUCUUCUUCUCAAGAACUUAUCAUCUACCUAAGCUACGAAUAACAUGUUGAUUGGUGGAAAGCAAAUGAAUGUUGAAUUGAAAAGUUAUGUAUGUAUGACAAAUACAAAGAAUGCAUGUUGUAGGCCAAUGCACAAUAUACAGAAUACAAACUACAAAUAAUACAAAAAUAUAAGACAAGGUAAUGAAAGAGUGUUACAAGGUAGAGGACACAAGGGAAUAGCCUUCGUCUCCACUCCAGCUACAUGCUCUCUUUGUGGUAUGUACAAACCUCUUGUGGCCCGUUCAGGCAGUUUUUGGCCCGUUCAGGCAUUCCUUCUUUGUUUGGGGAUGAAGUACUUUUAUAGGCAACUUUUCAAUGGAAAACUUCUAUUCUUCUAAGAUUGCCAGUGCUAAUGCUAGAGUUCACAUGUGAGAUCCAUACUCGGCUUCGUGUCGUUCUGGGAGCAGCCUCCCUUUGAAAAGUGUUUAUAUGGGUCAAUAACAUGGUGAAGAGAGGAGAAAUGUUCAUAGUAAGUGGAAGAAGGACACAUGUCAACAUAUCCUACGAUCUCCUUCAUGAGGUUGCACCAUGAGUUUCUAUGAUCCGCCUGCGUGUCGUCCUAGAACGACGACCAUUCCUUCGGAGAGCCUAGUUAUAGAAGUCAGAACAAUGCAAACUUCAUAAAUGGAUAGGGUUUCUUAGGUUAAUCUUCAACAAUUGUCUUUCUUUUCGGUAGGCUGUUAAAGCAUACUUCUGGGAUCUGAAAAUGGUAGGGUCACACUUAGGGGAUGAAUUAAGUUAGUUAAUGAAUCCUUGACCGAACAACAAUAACUAAAAACUAUAGGAAUAUGAGUUAUUCUAGUAUUAGUUAUUAGCUGAGAUUAUCUCAAUUCAGAAGAGGAGUAGUUGAUCAUCCUUCGGUGGCUGUUGCUCUAAACUUCUAAAGCAUUGUAGCAAAAGCUAAGGCAUUUGUUUGAUUAAGUUUCUUUGGUUGCUUAUUUUUGCUGAAUUGAUUGGAUUAUUUUAUAUAAUGGGUUAAGACAAAGAUAACUAAUAUGGUCUAUUUUUUGAUAUUUCAGCAUAGUCUUCUUCAUUUAUUCAACGGCUUAUGCGACGUUAACUGUUAAAAAUUAUGCGACGUGAAAAUCAAACCUAAAUAUGAUUCUAGUUAAUGAUGAUUUAUGCUUCGUCUUAUGGAAGUGCGUCUCAGAAUGUCAGGGAUGCAUAGAAUCGUUGGACAAAGGCCAAUGACAAGACCAAUGACAAGGCCCACAUCUAUCUCUUGUCCUAUAUGUCUGACAUAGUAAGCAAGAAACACGAAAGCAUGAUCACUGCACGUGAAAUCAUGGACUCCCUUUAGAUUAUGUUUAAGAAGAAUAAAAAAGAAGGUAAGUAUGAUUUACUUGUCUUAGAAACAUGUUUAGUAGAAAAUAAUCAAAAUGCUUAGAUACUUGAUUUAGGAGCCACUAGUCAUGUUUGUUCUUCUUUACAGGAAACUAGUUCCUUUAAGUAGCUCGAGGAGGAUGAAAUGACAUCAAGGUUAGAAAGAGAGAGAUGCCAUUUCAACUUGUAUAGUGGGAGAUGUUAAGUUGUCUUUCAGAAAUAGAUUUCUAUUUUUAGAAAACUUGUACAUAGUUCCUAAGAUUAAAAGGAAUCUUAUAUCUAUUUCUUGUCUCAUUGAACAAUCAAAUAAUGUAACAUUUUCUUUAAAUGAAGCAUUCAUUUCUAAGAAUGGUGUACAUUAUGAGAGUAUUGAACAAGAAAAUCGUGUGGGAAUGUCUUCUUCGAGUAGUAUAAUUGAAGAUGCAAUUAGUAGUGUUUUCGGUCUCGAUCAAAGCUAUGUAAGAGGAUUAGGAUUUGGUGUGACUCGAUCGAAGGUGUCUACAUCAAUUCAAAAAGAUAAAACCAUUGCAUCUCUAAAAGAAAAUGUAACAACCUAAUGUUAGAUGUAGGUGAGCUGAAAAGUAUGGUAGCUUCCUUAAUGAAGAACAAGAUAAAUUUAUCCUAACUCUUAAAAGUUCUUAAACUAUGUUUUAUAGUACAUUUUGACAUUGUUGUUUAUAUAGGAAAAAACAAGUGAAAAAAAUUCGAAUAAUCUUGUUAGAGUAUCAUGAUCAUCGAAAGAUAUUCCUACUCCUACUCCAAUCAUAAAUUUUUCAACGGUAAAUUCGUUUGUAACUUUAUUGUUCCUUUAUUAUUUUAAAUUAUUAUUGUUUGAGAUUUUUCUAACCAUAUUAUUCUUCAAAAAGAGUGUUACUACCAACACUCGCCAUAAGUGUUUGCUACUAGAUUGGGUUGUUUCAGGAGAAAUCAUUGUUGAAGGUAGAUGGUCUUCCAAUGAUCCAUCAAUUCUUGUUUCCCAUGUUCCUCUUGGCCCUAAUGUAGUUCGGGUGUGGGUUGAUACAGUGAAAAUACCAAAUUUCUUCUUAUGGAGACGUACCUCUGACAUUAUUGUUAUUGACAAUGUUGUGGGCACUACUAUAGCAUGGCUGAUGGAUGAAGCCAAACUAUGUAAGAAAUUUUAUUUACUUUGUGAAGUAGGUAUUUAUUUAGUUCUUUAAGUAAUUUAUUGUUAGAGUUAGAUAUUGAUAUUUCUUUUUAUUUUUGGUUAGAUGAUUGAUAUAUGGAGAAAACAUUGGGAGCAACACAUAUAUGUGAGAUAAUUUUGGUAUUACUACAAUUUAAACACAUUUUUUUAUCCUAUCAAAAUUUUGGGAUUAUAUAUAUGAAGUCAUUUUAUUUGAAUUAAGAAUUUACUUGUUCUAGUAGUUGAGGACUUUGUUGGAACUUAGUGUUGAUGAUUAUUUCAAACAUUUGAAUGUAUAUAAUGCUUUCUUCUUCUUCUUUUUGUAUGUUAUAAAUUUGAAUAUUUUGGUUGUAGUUAUGAUGAUGGAUUUGGAUGAGUGUGAAUUAUACCCUCUUAAUAUGACAAAUUAAGGCUUUAUCUAUAAAUAUCUAUAUGAUUAUAAUUUGAUUUUACAAUAAUAAUAUUGGAUAGGUGUUAUUAGAUCAAUUAUAGUUAUGUCUGUAUUAUUACAAAAAAAUGCUAUAAAUGGUCAAUCAACAAUAAAGUUUGUGAGUAAAAAUAGGUAUUUAUAACUUUUUUUUCAUUACAAUGAAUAAUGUUAAUAAAAAUAAGAGACCUUCAAUAACACAUCUAGUCUUUUUAUUGUUAUAACAUUUUUUUAUGAUACUUUUUCGAUAUCAUCAAACGUUUCCAUUAUAGUAAACUAUAGCUAUAAUAAAUCAAUUUUUUAUAUUGUUAUUUAUAGCUUUACAGAAACAGCUAUUAAAAUUCAAGUACUUUUUUCUACGACAACAUUCAUAAAACGCUAAAAAAAUAGUUUAUAGCAUAUGUUAUUAAAAUAACUAUUGAAUGGUUUUGAUAACGUUUUUUCGAACGCAAUAAAAUCGCUACAAAAAGUCUUUUAUAACAUUUUUUCAAUGUUAUUAAAAACGCUAUUGAAACAUUUUGAUAGCCCUUUUUCAAUGUUAUUAAAAUAGCUAUUGAAACGUUUUGAUAACACUUUUCCAACACAAUAAAAAAAGGGCUAUUGAAACGUUUUAAUAACGCUUUUCGAACACAAUAAAAAACGCUAUAUAAAUAUCUUUUAUAGCAUUUUUCAAUGUUAUUGAAAACGCUAUUGAAACAUUUUGAUAAUGAUUUUUCCAACGCAAUAUAAAAAACACUAUCCAAUUUUCAAUGGCGUUUUUUUUUUUCACGUUAUAAAAAGCAUUUAUAACAUCAUAUAUGUGCUAUCAAUAGAGACAUAUUAUAGCAUUUUGCACAGCGUUGUAAAAACAUCGGCUAUGACAACACUUCGAAAAUGCUAUCGAAAAUCAACCAUAGCGUUUUUGUUAUGCUAUCAUAACUCAUAUUUCUUGUAGUGUAAGUAAGACAUGUCACGUCAAGACUCUCAUAUUAUUAAUCACCUUAUAAUGUAUAAACCUUUCUUCACUCUUUCUUUUAUGCAAGUUAGUUGACAUUUUGAUCAUCUCACCCUCAUAUAAUCCCCUUUGCAGAAGCCUUUAGGAGUAAAUAGCUAAGUAGUUAUAGUUUAUUCUUGCAUUCUUUUAUACGUUAUUUAUCAUAACGCAUAGUUGAUAAGUAGACCCUAGAACUAAAAGAUUUGAUAUCAAUUCCAUGUGUUUGACCUUGGUUCAUUUGAAAACUUAUUGAUUUGUUUACACUUGGGCAAACAAUAGAAAAACUCGUACUCAACAAGGACUUAGUAAUUAUGCGAUGAAGAGAGACAUGGAGAGCAUCUCGCAUGCUAUGAUCAUGCUUAAUGACUUACCACAUAGAAUUAAUCAUGCAUAAACAACUUAAGUAUGAAUAAAAACAAAACAAAAACACUACCAUUUAGACACACAUUUACCUCACAUUGUAGAGCUUCAUACCGCCUAAAUGAAGAAGUAAGUCUUAUAACUAAUAUUUGAUAUCAAUUUCCUGUGUUCGACCCUGGAUUAUCCAAGAAACCUAUCUUUUCGCUUAUACUUGGAAAAGCAAUAGAAAAACUUGUACUCAACACAGGUUCGGUGCUUAUACGAAUAUUAGAAAUAUAAUGAGCAUCUUUCAUGUAAUCCGACCCUCAACAACCAAUUCCAAGUUUUUGGCACCGUUGUAAGUAUAUCUCUCCACCCACAAACAACGUGAUAUGUUUGAUACACCCGAUAUACUGCAGAUACAUUUAAUAUUUUUCACUUAUACACUUGAUAUAUGCUUGAAGUCCUACUUAUACACUUGAUACACUAUUGAUAUACACUUGUAAACUUGAUUUAUAUGCUUGAUAAUGAUUCACUUUAUCGAUAUGUUGAUAUGCUUUAAUAAUAUAUUGUUGAUAUACUUGAUAAUGAUACAUUGAGUUAUAUCAUUCAUAUACUUAACAAUACUAUAAUGAACUGCAUAAAAUUUUAAAAAAUGAAAAUCACGUAGUAAGUAUAUCAACCAACUAUUUAUAUAUAGUAUAAGUACAUCAUAACACCGAUAUACAAAACUGAUAAAAGUAAAACAAAAACAAAACAAAUGUAAAUGAAAUCAGAUUCAACUCAAAAUACAAAUCAAAGAAAGUAGAGAAAAAUCACAAACGAAGUUAAAUUGCUCCGACCAACAACCAUUAUAUUUCAUAUUGCAAUCAAUGCACUAUUGAUAUAUCCUAAAAUCAAGAUUAAGAUAGGAAGAAUAAAUCAUUUUUUUCCAUAUAAGAAAUGAUGAUUAGAGCCUUAAAAAGUGAGAGAAUGAAAAAAAAGAUGAUUUAGGACAUUAAAAAAUGAUAAGAAAUAAGUUAUUGAACGAUAGUCUGUAAAAAGUAAUAAAUUUAAGAUGAAGAUUAUUUUAAAAAGCGUCAUAUUUGCACAAUUCUAAAACAAUAUGCUAUAUUUGCUAUAUCAUAUUCUUAAAAAGCUAUAAAAGCAAUUUUUCAUAUAUAUAUAUUAUAUAAAAAAACUUAAAGUUGAAGGAGGCUCAAUCCCUCUUGAGUCUAUGCUAAAUCUGUACUGCUUGAAUCUUAGUUAAUUAGAUUUGAAUUAUCUAAAAUAAAUAAAUAAAACUUUAUUUAUAAAAAAUAAACAACACUUUAUUUAUUUAAUAAUUAAUUUGUUUACACUAGUAUAAAUCCCAAUAAUAUCAUCCUCAAGUUUAACUAUUGAACACAAAAUUUCAGAAUUAAAAUGAAAGUAAAACUUUUACUAAAAAAAGACUAUAUAUAUAUAUAUAAUUAUAAGAAAUAUCCUAGGACAUAAUUAUAAGAAAUAUCCUAUCACAUAUUUAUAAGAAAUAUAUAUCCCAUCACAUAAUUAUAAGAAUAUUCUAUCAUAGAAUAUUUUACUUUUCAUUUCAUCUAUGAUCGGCUCCAAUAACAUUAUUUCUAGUGGAGUAAUAUGGAAGGACCUAUCCAUCCCACUUUCUCACUCACACUACAAAAAAUUAAAAUAUGUGAAAAAUCAAAUAAAAACAAUAUCACAUUUUAAGGUAUGUUUUGAACAAUGGUGCUACCUAGAUAUCCAUAAGUAUUUUUCUUUUAUACUUCAAAUGUGUCCUAUAUAUGUAAAAACAGUAUACAAUAUGAACACCGUAUAGUCUAAAUUCCACAGUAGUGUCCUCUCCAAUCUUUAGGAUGUUUUAGUAAUAUGUAUCACAACUUUCUUUUGUUUUUUUCUCCUAUAUGAAGGUAAAAAUUCUUUCUCCUAUUUUAAGUUAUUUUUCUCUUGAAUCUAACCACCAAAAAACUUUCUUUACCAUAUUUUUAUGUUUUAAAAAAGAGAAAGGAAAAAAGAGUAAGUUCAUCAGAACUUAAUUGAUUAAGUCAUUCAAGAUUGGAGUCUCACUUUUUUUUUAGAGUAAAAAGAAAAUAAAAAGAAGGAAAAUAGAAAAGAAUGGAAAUCUAUGUUUAUUCAUGAUUGGAUGUACACAAUGAUAUCCAUCUACAAUAACCACGUAUCCCACACAUAAAAAUAAUGAAUCACCGAAGAAAAACAUUAAUAAUCAGAACUCCAAAGAGAAUACCAUACACAAAUAUUGGGAAGAAGUUAUAAUCAAGGAGAAAUUAACAACACUACAAUUAACAUAAAUAUCAAAUAUCAAAUUUUUCCAUUUCAAUAAUUAAAACCAACACCAAAAUGGAUCGCACUCCACUCUUUGUGUCGUUUGAACUCAAUCGCUCUAAGCAAAUACCAUUGCCAAGAAAGCUCCGGCCACGGCACCACCCACCAUCAUUCCCCGGCUAACGCUUGCCGCCCCAUUUCCUUCCGGUGGGGGUGGCGGUGGGCUUGGUCCAGGGCUGUUUGUUGGGACAUUCCCUUCUGGUGGUGGUGAUGGAGGAGAUGAAGUCGGAGGUGAGAUUGGACCCUCCUUUGGUGGCGCUGUUGGAGGCGAGCUAGGUGAUGAUGGUGGUGGAGAUGUAGGAGGUGAAGCUGGGGGCUGGCUAGGAGGUGAUGAUGGUGGGGUCGAAGCAGGUGGUGGGGUGGCUGGAGGAGGAGUAGCCGGUGGUGGGGUUGCUGGAGGAGGAGUAGCCGGUGGUGGGGUUGCUGGAGGAGGAGUGGCGGGAGGUGGGGAUGCUGCCGGGGGAGGAGUAGACGGGGGAGGGACGGCGGGGUGGAAGGUGGCUGAGCCGGAGCAGCACCUGGAGCUUGAGCCAUACAAGAAGUGGCAAAUAAGGCUAAAAACAUUACAAAUUGGAAACCCAUUUUCAUUCUCUCUACCAAACAAAAGAUAGAGAGAGAUGUUAAAAGAGAAAAGGGUUUGUGAAGAGAGAAAAAUUUAGAGAAAGUGUGUUUAUUGUGAAGUUGAAAUGAAUAGCAAUAGGAAAGAUAUAUAUAUAUCAUAUAUGUGAGUAUGUGUAUAAUAGAAAGGAAAGAAAAAGAAAAUAGAGAGAGUGGUGAAGUUGGGGACUUGAAAGACAG
rnacentral:lncRNA from 1 species